rnacentral:lncRNA from 1 species
UUUUUUUUUGGGUUACCUUUGGUGGUUAGUGAUGAUAGGGACAUGCAUCUACUGAAAUGUUUUGACAUGCUAAUACGUUCUGGCCCUGAACUGUGCAGUACCUGGAUGAGAACAAGCAGCUGAUCCUGGCCAUCCUCGACAACCAGAACAAUGGGAAGGUGGAGGAGUGCGAACGGUGAGUUGCUGAGUAUUGAUCUGAUCUCCUUGCAUGACCGUUAUGGAUGUAGUAGCAGCUAGAAGCUAGCCACUGUGCUGUGGAAACACUUGUGUUAACAUGAACAAGAAUGUCCCUGUCCCCCUUUGUUCAGUAUAAGCAUCAAGCAAGCCUAUUUUGUGGACAGAUAAUGCUCCUUUCGUGAAAGAUGGUACCAUGCUACAUUGUUUCUGGUUUGUCUGCUGUAGCGUAUACAUUGAUUAAUACAUUUGCCAAAUGUUCACGUGAUAAAGCUGUGUAGUACCAACCAUGCACCGGUUUUGUUCAGUCUACUGUUUUUGUGGUCUGUAAUGUCGAUGUCACACAUGACACUUUCUAUAGCUUUUCCGCAACCGAAGGAACUCCUGAUGUUUCAUUCUCAAUCAUCAUUCAAAACAAUACCUUGCAUGCUCAUCUGUUCACUGCUUACUUGUGACAACCGAUCAUAGAGUAGACAGUUUAUAGACAAUCAUGCAUGGUUACGUUGUGCAAUGAGCUAUAGAUAUCUUGUAGCCUGAGUGUUCUCUUGCCUGUGCCACCUGAUGAUGUCAUGCAGGCACCAAGCCAAGCUCCAGCACAACCUCAUGUACCUGGCGGCCAUCGCAGACAGCCAGCCACCACAGACGGCACCGCUGUCACAGGUACUGAUGCUAGUGCUGCUCCUCGGCCUGGCCCUAACACCCAAGCAUUUUCGUUAGUGAAAUCAAAGAUUGCAUCGCUCUCACUUGGUACAUCUGCGAUCUGCAGUACCCGUCCAACCUGAUGAUGCAGCCGGGCCCUCGGUACAUGCCGCCGCAGUCGGGGCAGAUGAUGAGCCCGCAGUCGCUGAUGGCGGCGCGGUCCUCCAUGAUGUACGGGCACCCGUCCCUGUCGCCGCUCCAGCAGCAGCAGGCGGCGCACGGCCAGCUGGGCAUGGCCUCGGGUGGCGGCGGCGGCGGCGGCACGACCAGCGGGUUCAACAUCCUCCACGGCGAGGCCAGCAUGGGCGGCGGUGGUGCGGGUGCCGGCGCCGGCAACAGCAUGAUGAACGCCGGCAUGUUCUCGGGCUUCGGCCGCCCUGGCAGCGGCAGCGGCGCCAAGGAGGGGUCGAGCUCGCUCUCGGUCGACGUCCGGGGCGGCGCCAGCUCCGGCGCGCAGAGCGGGGACGGCGAGUACCUGAAGGCCGGCACCGAGGAGGAAGGCAGUUAAGACGCUGUCGUCGCUGGCACGGGCACCGGCAUAACGGCGGCGGCAGCAGGAUUAGCAGGUAGCUUUGAGGAACGAGGAGGGGUAGUAGUGUAGUAGUGGUAGCACUAGCUAAUAGUAUGUGGUCGGUAAGGUAGGUUUGUUCCAUGGGAACCUGGAGGUGGUAGUGACCAGCACCGCUGCAUGCUGGGUCACUUGUUUUGGAUGUGCGUGGCAGGUUCUCUCCCCAAGAUGGUGAUGUAGUAUGGAACGUUGAUGGUGGCCCUCUUGCGCGAACAACUCUAUGCUGUAUUGAUGGACUUGAUGAUCUUGACCAAAAACUUCACUACUGCCUUAUCUUGUGAUUGUUGUUGGAACGGCUUCAGUUUUGGAACCGCCUGGACACGAAACGCCGCAAUGUUAAAUGGCGUCCAUCUCCCUGUUAGUUUACCCGGAUUUUGUAUCUACACGUAAAUCAAAAUUUCAUCAGUUAGCAUAAUUUCAUCGGUAAUGUAUAUUUGUUCCUUCCAUUUACCCUUGUCUUCGAACCGGCCUCUCUGUAUUCCCUAUUCUAUCUUGGUGACUUAGAGUUAUAAUCAAGAUUUCAUCAGUAGGUUGAAGUUAGCAUAACUCAUGACUUUUAUCACAUCACUCGUGUAGUUCGCACCUAGGGUUUUCCAUUGGUGUGAUCGGGCGUACGGCACACCCAUGAAACUCAAGAAACCUUGUCCCUUGGUUAGAAAUCGAAUGGUUGAAUGGUCUUCUUCUACCUCCCGAUCCUUCUCCGGUGCUCUUUUUUUUUUAUCGCUCACUUUCAUCCCCGUCGCUUCCAGUCAUGUAUGACAGUUCCAACUUCACCGCGCGAAUCAGUUCGUUUUUUUGCCUCCCUACUGGUUCUACGCCUCAGUCGCCUCUACGGUAACAAUAUGCAGAGGACUUGGUGGCACGGAGAACGUCGUGAGUUCAUCAACUGACUAAAGUAUAGGUCGAGUUAAAUAAAAUCUCUUAUAAUUCUUGAUAUUUUGACCUGAGAAGGAGAGUGGAGAAUCAACUCCCCGAAACAGGUAAAUAGGUUCCGCAGCCAUGAAUAAUAAUCAAACAAAUUGGCAGAAACAAAAAAAAAAAACUGUGGCCGUGCCCCUGUUGUUCCGCCAUGGCCCAUGGGCUUCAAGUCUUCAACGGUUCAUCAACCUCUCUAGCAUGGAGAAUUGGAGAAGCCGCCGUCGGGUUUCGCAAUAUUUGCGUCCGGCUCCUUUGGGAAUAUUCAUAAAUCGCGACGCUUCCAUUGCUUUGCAAAUUGGUCCAUCCCCUUCCCCUCCUCCCCUUCGCCCUGCGCCGCCACCGCCCAACUCAGCAAGUCCUCGCGCUCGCGGCAAGUAACGGGAGCGGGAGCGGCCAGGCGCCAAUGGGCAAUGGCCUCCCCCCGGCGAAUGCGCACGACACCAGCGCCGCCCCCCAUCCGCGGGGCGAGGGCGAGCUCGCCGUCAACUUCUUCCCCCAUCAGCCUCUCUUUCCAUCCCUAUAUCGCCCGAACGCCGCUACGCCGAAUCUGCCGUCACCGCGUAGGUCCCAGCAUGCUUCAACAAGGCGUCGGUGAACCUGACCACGCGCGUGGUCGGCGGGCGCAGCGCGUCACGCACGAGCAUGGCGGGGUGCUGCUAUGGACAAAAUAAACGAGGCUCAACCAUCGCCUCAGUCUCCACCGCAGAAGGUUCACGGCGCUGGACUAAAUGAUGAUGAUGCAGGAAACGAACAGAGGCAACAAGCAAGCAAGCUCCGAUGAGCAAACUUGUAAGGUACGCGGUCUUCUCCAUUUGCCGUCCAGGCCCCUAAUAUGUUCAAUGAAAUGUAAAUGUGACUCAGGCCACCUUUUAGAUUCAAUUCCACUGAUGCUUAUGCUGGUGACAAUUGGUGAAAUCUGAUGCGUGUGGAUCACCGCACACCCUAAUUGAAAUCUAGUUACAGACCAUAGCAAAUCAUCAGGUUUCAGGUACCCUGGAGUGUUCUGAAUCUAUCAGUGCUAAUUCCUUUUUUUUUUACUAUGUUCUUCACUCGAUGCCGUCAGAGCAUUUUUCAGAUUGUGCAGCAAACAUUCUUUAUACGUUGAUAAGCUGGAGUUGAGCAAUGAACAGAUUAUAUAGAAUAAAGUGGAAUGAAAUAUAGUUUUACUGCUGUCCCGCUAAAAGAGGCUGACCCUUUCAAUCAAGGAAAACUGAUUAAUUGUUAGUUUUGUUAUGGAAUAAAUUGUUUCGAACUUAAUGGUACCAUUUACAUGGCAUUUGAGCCAACAUAAUUAAUAGUUAAAGAUGUUUGUUCAUAGUACUUUUACAAAUAUAAAGCUACACCUUUUAUGUUUUCCUGCUGUCUUCUUGUCCGAGUUUUUUACAUGUGCACUACCAUGGUAGCUUACGAUAGAUCAUCUGUCCUUAAACAGGUAACCCUGUAUUAUAAAGGGAUUAUAAAUAUGUUUUUAUGGGAAUAAUCAAAAUAGUGUUCCUAUGACACUUGCAGCAGCGCCUUUCUCUAUUAUAUCACAACACUUUGCUGAUAUUACAUUCUUAGUUGCAUGCUGGCUGGUAUUAGAAUGCAAUGUAUUAUUUCCUGUUAUAGAUUGUAUGGACUCAAUGCACACACAAAAAGCUAGACCCUGGAGAAAAACCACCCCCACGACUUUGAUUUAAAAAGAAUCUAAACCAUCACUGGGUCUACAAAAGGUCCCAAAGGCUGCCCACUCAUACUGUGUUCCCUGCGCCUGCAGGUGAAAGUAGUUUGCACAACGGGGGACCUUUUUUUUUAAUGUUCAGACCAGCUGGGAGCGCCACAACCGGCUGCUCUACCACCAUGGUGUAUGCGCGUCGGCUAUGUACUCAAUUAUAUGUAGGAAGUUACCUUAUGUACUCAAUACAGGUGCACAAAUCUGAGGUUUGCAUAAUGCAUGCCAGUGCCACAAGUGACCAGUUUGAUGUGCUUCCUAAGUAAGUUGUUUUUACAAGAAAGAUAAUAUAGUGGUCAUGCCAUGUUUGUAAUUUUCCCUUUAACCUUUUUCUGGUUGCCAUUAUUGUGCUCGUUUGUUUGGAUUUAACUUAUGAUUUUUUUUACUGAGAACAAUUUAAGCUAUGAUAGAAAUGUUUCCAAUAACAGUGAUACCGUAUGUAGUCUUGAGUUAUGGCUACAUUCUAUAGAGACUAACCGCAAUCUGAAGGCAUGAAACCAGUUUUGUUGGUUUAACUAUAAUGUCUGUACGAAUAAAAUGUGUGCAAUCAUGGAUGAGCCUUAGCACUUUGCCCUUCCAUGGGUAAUAUGGCGCAGAAUCGCCGGGCAUUGUUCUUGUCCACAUGAAGAGGCCCAAAGCAUAUGUCAAGGUGGCAGCAAAACCCACCCAACCCACACCACAACUCAAUGUGCCACAGCCGGCCUCCUCACCCCUUGUCCCAUCCUGGACCCUUAGCGGCAAACAUGGGUUGUAGAAUGGGUCGCGACCCCAUAGCCCAUUGAGACGUCAAAACCCUAACUCUCCACCCUCGCAUUGUAUCCGCCACCUUGGCUAGUCUGGACUCGGGAUCUCAGCCGCCGUCACCUCUCGUCGUCCUCCUCCCUCGGUAAGCUCCUGCGUUCCCCAACUCAUAUGUGCCCCUUUACUCUCUGUCGCUUGCUUGAGCUCAUCUCUUUGCGUUAUGAUUUCUUUCCACUUGCAAGUUCGUACAUCUGCGUGGGUUUAGACUAAAUUCCGCUGGAUCCGUCAUAGGGGCGAUGCGUGGGGUUUGUGUCAUAUUUUUUAGGACCGGACCAAUCGGGAAAACAGGAACCAGAACCUCCGCCUGUUCGGUCCGUGUAAAAGACCGUCCCGCAAUCAAACCGUCAGUAAAGCACUUAAACCGGGUUCGACUGGCCGAUUUUUGCCGGCAAUCACUUAAGAAAACUGUCUACGAGCCGCUCUGGUCACUGACAUUCUGCUUGGGGCACACAUGGGCUCAACAGUAUGCGUUUGGUUGGACCCAAAAAAUGCUUGAAAAGGGCAGAGUGGGAGUUGAAUUCGCGACCUGAGGCUUCGGGUUAAGGUCUGCACCAUUGAGCUAUGCACUUGUUGCUAAUUUUAGUACGGAACUUAUCAUAUUUGAACCGUAAUGAACUAUCAGUCUAACCGGUUGAACUAAUCAAACUGUGAGCCAAGGGCUAUGCCGGUUCAAUGUCUGGUCCGGUCUCAAUAACUAUGGUUUAUGUGCAGAACAACCGUAUUUCUAAUUUCAGAAACAGCUUACUCUUUUUAUUGUGAAAUUAUGAUCUGCUUGUCAUGGUGUGAAUACAUUGGUUGGUUUCAUUCUCACUAGUUGGAUUUUAUUUAGCUACCAUUUUAGCCCUUGGAUGGUGUUCUGAUUUUAACAUGCCAUAUCUACCAGAUUUCAGGAGUUAAGCUUCUAGCCUGUCAAGUAUGGCUGAAGAAACCACCAAUUUUCCUCAGGUGGCCCAAGAGGAUGGGAUUGCCUCCAACGAUGAGCCAGUCCAAGGUGAAGAAUUGGCUCAAGGUGAUGAGUUGGUGCAAGGUGAAGAAUUGGCUCAAGGUAAUGAGUUGGUCCAAGGUGAAGAAAUAGCUCAAGGUGAUGAGUUGGUCCAAUAUGAAGAAUUCAUUCAAGGUGAUGAUUUGGUGCAAGGAAAUGAAGCGACGACCCCUCCAUCAAGAACCAGGUGGAGAAGAAAGAAGCCCUUGAAAUGGGAGCACUUCAGUAUUGAAACUGUCGCCGAAGGGGCCACACAAGCAUGCUGCAAGCAAACCUUUGCUUACAGCUCUGGUUCUAAGAUUGCUGGGACUAGCCAUCUCAAGAGGCACAUAACCUUGGGUUCUUGUCCUAAGACAAAGAAUCAAGAGCAGAGGCUGGCACUACCUUCAACAGGAGGGACUGACAAUGAUGGUAAGGGAACUGUGGAGCGUCCAUCCAAGAGACGCUACAGAUAUACUGGCUAUGCAAAUGCUACUUUUGAUGAAGCCCGCAGUUGCUCAUACCUGGCAAGGAUGAUCAUUCAGCAUGACUACCCACUUGACAUUGUUCAACAGCCAGCAUUUGCUGCUUUUAUUGAGAGUCUGCAGCUCCGUUUCAAGAUUAGGGAUGUUGAUACGAUGGAGGGAGAGGUGUAUGCAAUUUAUCAGAAAGAAAAAGAGAACCUGCUGCAAGCAUUCAGUACUAUGCCCGGAAGGAUCAGCCUCACUGUAGGAUUGUGGAGAACUAGCCAGACUCUUGCCUGUGUUUCAGUUGCAGGGCAGUUUAUCGACUCUGAAUGGAAAGUACACCGAAGAAUGCUUAACUUCAUGAUGGUGCCUUCUCCUCAUUCAGAGAAUGCACUUAGUGAAGCAAUUAGCAUGAGCCUUUCUGACUGGAAUAUGAAGGACAAACUAUUCACCAUCACAUUGGAUAGUGAAUGCUGCUCACAUGAUAUCUACAAUGCAGAUCUGAGGGAUCAUCUCUCGAUCAAGAACAAUCUCAUGCUUAAGGAACAGCUAUUUGUUGUGAGGUGCUAUGCUCAUAUCCUUGAUGCUAUCGUACAAGAUGUCAUUGCUUCAAUUCAUGGUGUCAUCUACAAUAUCCGUGAAAGCAUAAAAUUCAUAAAAUCUUCUCCUGCCUGUGAAGAGAAGUUUGCUGAGAUCGCUCUGCAGCUGGAGGUUCCCUGUACCAAGACCCUCUGUCUGGAUGUUACAACUCAGUGGAACACCACUUAUUUGAUGUUGCUGGCUGCAUCGGAUUAUAAGGAUGCUUUCACUACACUUGAGACAUGUGAUGAUAACUACAAUGAAGCUCCUUCAGCAGAGGACUGGAGGAAAGUUGAGGCUGCCUGUAGUUACUUCAAACUGCUAUAUGACUCUGCACUUAACAUCAUGACAGUAGCAAACCCAACUUCAAACCUUUUCUACCAUGAAGCUUGGAAAGUUCAGCUAGAGCUAGCAAAUGGCACAGGACAUGAAGAUCCCAUUUUCAGUAGCAUCGCCAAGGAUAUGCACCAGAGGUUUGACAAGUACUGGAAAGAUUGCAGCCUCGUGCUAGCCAUUGCUGUUGUCAUGGAUGACCCACGUUUCAAGAUGAAGCUUGUUGAGUUCAGUUACUCCAAGAUUUAUGGGGAUGAGAUUGUAAAGCGUGUUAAAGUUGUCAAUGAUGCUCUGCAUGAGCUGUAUAAGGAGUAUGCGGCAAAGCCAAUUCCACUGACCCCAGCCUAUGUUGAGCAAAGUGAAGGGAAUAAUGGGCUAGCCGAUGCUAAGAAAAGUCAAGGAGCUCCUGCUUCCACUACGCUUCUAGAUUUUGAUGUGUACCUUUCUGAGAUCCGAAGUAGCGAGCAGUCAAAAUCUGAAAUGGAACAGUACCUGGAUGAAUCUCUCACCAUGUAAUCUUGAUUUUGAUAUUCUGAACUGGGGGAAGCUUAAUGCGAUCAAGUUUCCAACACUCUCCAAAAUGGCCCGAGAUAUCCUGGCCAUUCCAAUGUCCAUUCUCUGCCGGAACAGGAAGUCGCGUGCUCGAUGACUACAGAAGCUCUCUUCGUCCUCUGGAGGCACUUGUCUGUGCGAAAGACUGGCUCCAAUACUCACCAGCUGCCACCGAGGCACCAAGUGCUACACUGAUCAAGGCUGAAGAAUGAUCACUGCUUCCUUGCUGAAGCAUGAAUAGUAUCCAUUGGAUUGUGAACUGAUCGGAAUCCAUUCCGUUAUUUACUCGUAGAGGUGUAACCUGUUUGUGUCGAACUCUGUUUUACUUGUUGCUAUUGUCAUGUAAUAGCUUUAAUUGGUGUCGUCUGACUUUGCACGCGAUGUGCGUGUGCUAGCUGCGGGAUUUAUCAGCCGGUUGUCUUUGCACUUUGUUUGUUACCCCUGUUUUGCAUUUAAUCUGUUAUGUACUAUGGAUUGAUGCUCAUGUUCGUGUGUAGCUAUAUAAUUUGUCUAAUUUUAGUUUAUGCUCCCUAUCUCUUCUCCGGUGGCGUCAUCAGCUGGUUUUACUGAAUGUCUGAAUGACUCCAGUGUUUGUGUUUAAAAUGCUUGUCCUGAUCUUGAGCCACAGCUUUUAAUCGUGACUACUGCUCUCGGCUGUGUCCUGUGCGGUUGUGAGUGCAAAUGGAAAAGACUGUUUUUCUACCUGUGUCUGUGUGUUUGAAAUACUAGUCUUGGCAUGAUGGCUCCAUGCCUCCAUGCGUCCAUGAGUUCACUCGUACAGUGCUAUUUUCUCAAGCCUGAUCUUGAGUCACACUCACACAGGUGUACUCUGCCAUUCUCUGUGCGCUUACAUACGGUACUCUGCCCUUGUUCUGAACAGGUAUGCUUGUGCAAACACCAAACACCAACCAACUACCAGACGAUCAAGGCCUCACGAACUGGGCGGCGAUUCGUUCUCGACCUCGGCAGAUGGUUCCUUUGCGAGCUCCGCACGUCGGCGACGGAUCGAUCCGGAACAUGAUCUUGAGCUGCCUCGCCGCUCACGCGCGAUGUGAUCGGCGAGUUUUUUUUAGGCCAUCGUUCCUACCCAGACAUCAGUCCUAGUUUAGGCCUGCUAGUGGGGCGGGUUGAAAUGGGUUUUAUGGGGCGGGUUGUGACGUAAGGUGUGUUUGAAUGGGUUAAAAUGGGCUUUAGUAUCUAAUGGGUUGGGGCGGGUUGGGUAUAUCAGAAAUGCGGGUUGGGACGGGUUGAAAGUGAUUUUUUGUUUGAAUUUGUAUGAAUUUAACUCAUAGGUUUAACUUUCACGUUUCGGCUCUUGACGUGGGGCCAUGAUAUAAGUCCAGCCGCACUACUUUGCACAAAGUAGCGGACUGUCAAACUAAUUCAUUUGCAACAAAUUUUGAUCAAUUUCUCCAAGAUUUUAAGGUGUGAACGCGAGAUUUUAAUUUUAGGGUCCGACUCUUGACGCGGGGCUCACAUAUAAGUCCAGCCGCACUACUUUGCACAGAGUAGCGGACUGUCAAACUAAUUCAUUUGCAACAAAUUUCGGUCAAUUUCUUCAAAAUUUUAAGGUGUGAACGUGAGGUUUUUAUUUUAACGUCCGACUCUUGACGCGGGGCCCACAUAUAAGUUCACCCGCACUACUUUGCACAAAGUAGCGGAGUGUCAAACUAAUUCACUUGCAACAAAUUUCGAUCAAUUUCUCCAAAAUUUUAAGGUGUGAACGUGAGGUUUUAAUUUUAGGGUCCGACUCUUGACGCGGGCCCCACAUAUAAGUCCAGUCGCACUGCUUUGCACAAAGUAGCGGAUUGUCAAACUAAUUCAUCUGCAACAAAUUUCGGUCAAUUUUUCCAAAAUUUUAAAGUGUGAACAUGAUGUUUGUAUAAAUUUAUAGGUUCAUGUACAAAACCCACGGGUUAUAUCAAUUUGUGGGACGGGUUGGGUUGGGUUUACAUUAUAGAAUUAUGGAGCGGGUGGGGUAGGUAAAUAAGUUAAUUUAUCGCGGGUUGGGGUGGGUUUGGGGCGGGUUUGAACCCAUUAGCACGCCUAUCCUAGUUAACGCUUCCUCUAUUUUCAAUCUUUGUGCGGCUUCCUUCGUGGAUCACGACGGUGCCGCACGGCUCCGUCCGCUUCCACACGUCUUCUAGUAUAUCGCGGUAAGAAAAAAGUUCAUUUCCUAACAUACAUCAUCAUAUCGUCACGUCGUGUCGUGCAUCGCUUUUGAAAAACGUUUUGAGUCCUAACAUACAUUAUCGUUUCACCUUCUCCGUCCAACUUGCAAACAGUAUUAUAACCCAGAGACGUCCAUUUGCCAUCUUCUAUAAGUAGCUUGCUCUUCCUCGUUCAGUCUCGCGCCAGUUCAUUUCGGUCAGCUACACUACAACCUACAGAGCCUUACCUCUAGUUGUGCGUGCCAUGGCGUCCGCCGCGCCAAGGAUGGUGGUCGUCGCCGCCAUUGGCGUCCUGCUCCUGCUAUGCCUCAGCCCGCAGCUGACGGCGGCGGCCCGUGCUUCGUCGGCGCACGACGACGUGCUCCAGUUCGAGACCCAGGAACCCCUGCUGCGCGAGGUCACCAGCCACGACCUGGCUAAGCCGCUUGGGAGUUGGGCCGUGGCCCCCUGCUCACCUCGGUGCGAAGCGUGCAAAGCUGUCUGUGUGAGCGAUUGCAGAGGCGAUUCCAAGGGAUAUUGCUUUGAGCAAUGCUUGUUCAACGACAGGUGCUACUCGUAUGGAUUCUGAGCCUGGCGAUUGAUCGUGGAGUGACUGCUCUUGGCUCGGCUGUGUGACCUGUGAGCGUGAGGUGUGUUGUUGUUCCAUGUAAUAAGAUGUCCUGCCAAGCUUGCCUCCCAGACUCGGUUUAGGCAGUCGGACGACAAUGGGUAGUGCCUCUUGUCAUUAACGUAAUGAUUAUGUUGUCCCUUUUUUUAGUGCGAUGUGAAUAUGUGAUAACCAUGGAUCGUAACUUGUAUACUGCACAUUGAUAAUCUGUAAUGCUCUUGUCCAUCUAAGGUCUUACUAAUCCUGUGAGCCGGCGCGCAGUGAGCUACCAAAUUUUCUCGUUUUCUUUUCACCGCCUUCCUUCCUUCUGUUAUUUUCUCUCUCUCUCUUUUUGUUUACCUUUUCCUUUAUUCUUUUCCCCUUCGAUCUUAUCCUCCUUUUAUUCCUUCCUCCCUUUUUUUGAAAAUUGAUGCACACAAUUUUGCCCUACAUCCACUAUUCUUCCAUGGUUUUUUUUAAAAAAGGAGAAGAGUUCUAGACAUGUUUGUUUUGAAGAGUAUGUUUGGAGAAAUUUUUUUAAAAAUAUUUGAAAUUUUUACUAUGAAAAGAUAUCUAAGAAAAAAGUUCUUGCAAUCUCCUAGAAGUUAUAUUGAAAAGUUCUUCUAUAAUAUUACCUGAGAUGCAAUACAUAUCGUGUUCAGCAAAAUGGGUCGCAGAGUUUCAGGAAUUGUAGGAUAUUUUUGCAAGAGUGCCAUCUACAAAGAAUCUGUCCUUUUCUCGACGUGAAUGAGAAGAAUUCAACUCGCGAAAACACCCCCAAAACACAGCCCGAAACAGAAAAAAAGAAGACCCCACGGGGCGCGUCUGGGCUGCUCUUUCCCUACCUCCCUCCAGAAACACGGAGUCCGACAUGUAUGGAUCUGACGGUCCGGAUGAAAACCCUAGAAACCAACAGCUCCAGGCCCAACCCAAGACGGCAUCGAAAUCCAACAACGCCGUGUUGCGGCCGCCAUCCAAACAAAAUCUGCGUAAACAAACAAACAAGCCCCCGGAAACUCCUCACGAGAUGAGAAACCGCCCAAAAAAAGCAAGGACCCAGCCGGUCCACGCGGGGAGGCCCCCACCUGGCCCACCGGCAGCGUCACCCAUCGCGCCAACCGCCAGCUCACGAGGCCCAUCGCCGUGGGCCGCGAGCCCAAUAAAUCCCCGCACCCGCAGAUACACUGCGCCCGCAGCCACCAGCCCCCUCCCGUCUCUCUCUACCUUCUCUCUCUUCCCGUCCUCUUCCCAAGAGGAUCUAGGGUUUGUGCGUUCGGCCUUCGUCCUUCUUGGGCCGAGCCCUAAUCCUGCUGCACCGCCACCACCAAGCCGAGCCCCCGGCCGGGUUGUUGUUGGAUUGGAUCGUCUCCGCUGCGCCCUCUGCGUCCUCUCCCCGUACGUAAGCCCCCAAACUCCAAACCCUUCCUCUCCUCCUCCUCCUCCUCCUCCCGCUUAUUCUAUCGUCUGCUAAAUCCGUGCUGCGCGUAGCUUCUUCGGUUGGAUUGGUUUCGUGGUUUAGAUCCGGUUUGCCGUUCGAGCUCGGUUCGUUGGAUCUGUAUGGGAGCGCAAGCGCUUCGCCGAGGAGGGCGGUUAGAAUAGACGGUUCAUUUUGCUGCGAAUUUUUGCGGAGGUUUUUCUUUUUCGGUGGGUUCUUCACUGGCACUUCAGAUUAUGUGCGUUAUUGUGGGUAGAUUUUUCUGUUUCGGCUGGUUCUCCAGUGCUCUGCCUGGAGCUUCAGAUUAUGUGCGUUAUUGUGAGGUGAUUUUUCUGUUUCGGUGGGUUCUUCAGUGGUCUGGCUGGCACUUCAGAUUAUGUAGAUUAUGUUGGGGAUUUUGUUAGUAUAUUUCAUUAGUUUGUUACUAAUAAGUUGAGAGGCGUGUUUUGAGGCGUCCAUAUUGUGGGGCUAUUGGCUAUUACUGUUUCCCUCACGCCAGAGAAUCAGGGGGUGCGGCUCAGAGCUCUCCAUGUAGCAAUAAUCUUGUCCGAAUUCAGCAGGUUUCAGUUUUCCAAUGAAAUUAAAGUUUUGGCAUGGCUUAAAUUGGUGUGGAGUAGUAGGACUUGGUUGUCUUCUUUGGAGAAUCCAUAGUAAACAUUUUGGCUUUGUUGUUAGUGAAACAGUAGCCCACCUGGGUGUCAAGUGUUGUUCACAUAUAGGCGGAAUACUUAGUGCUAGUACAUGUUACCAAGUGCUUGAUCUUUCUGCAGAAUCGAUAGGUAUUACGUAGAGCUGCUGGAGCUAAUGAUUUUAUGCAUACAUCAUUUUUGUUAAUCUUGUGCUGAGCCAAGGGUAGUGAUGUUUGGAUAGUUGAGAUGAUUUUGGAGCCCAGUAGUCCUGCUAGGUUCGAUGCCUGUAACUAGGAAGUUGCAGCAACCACAGCUGGUUUCUGCUAUGCAAAGGAUGAGCAUAGUUGUGUUUCUGCACAAAUGCUGUGUUACUAGUAGCAUUUUAUUCUUUCGCUAUGUGUGCAGUCCCUUGUGGUUCUACUGAAGGAAGGGCCUGCCCUUAGAAUUUGUAUUUAUUGUUCUGUUACAACUUACAGCUCUUCAGCAUUUUUAAUUGUGCAUUCAGCACUUGCUUUCCCUGUUUGGUGACACUGAUCCACUUUUCUAUUGUAUUGCCCAUACAUGUAAAAACAUAGCCUUCACUGUUUGCAUCUAUCUAAUGUUGAUCGUAUUAUAAUUUCUGUACUUUUGGAUGCUGUCCUGAUUGAAAGGUUGUUAUUAUAUCAUCUAGUAUUAAAUAAUGCAAUCCUCAUAGCUUUUGGAGAAAAGCUUGCAUUCUGGUGGUCUCUGAAUCUCGACUUCAAAUUUAUUCUUUGGAACUGCUGCCAUAAACAAUCAGAUCUAUUCAUUAAUGAAACUGUGUAAGAUAUCUGCUGUCUGCCUACUUUAUCGUAACAUCUUUGACGGUUUAUCUAUGAGAUUUUAUUUUUAUGGAGUUUGUUUUGUUUUGUGAAAUGGUAAAGUGAUUUGAUGUGACUGAACACCUAACGUGAUUUUUUAUUUCAAAUUGACAGGCUUCCUUGGGUUCCAUUGGCCUGUAUCCCUCAACAUGGGUGAACCGAACAGCAAUGACAAUGCAAUGGUGCAUGACAGUGAGAUGGUUGAUGGCAACGGGGUGAUCAAUGGCAAUGAGAUGGUUCAUGGUAGUGAGAUGAUUCAUGGUAAUGAGAUGGUCAAUGGCGACGAGAUGAUCCAUGGCGAUGAGAUGAUUCAAGGGACUGAGAUGGUUCAAGGUAGUGAGAUGAUCCAUGGGAAUGAGAUGGUUCAAGUUAAUGAUCUCAUCCAUGGUAAUGAGAUGGUACAAGUUCAUGACAUGGUCAAUGGUGAUGAUAUGGCCCAUGGUAAUGAAUUGAUCAAUGCUGAGAUGACCCCACACACCACAUCAAGACGUCGGAGGAAGAAGUCGCUAGUCUGGGAGCACUUCACUAUAGAAAACAUGCCAGGGGGAAGCUCAAGAGCAUGCUGCAAUUUAUGCAAGCAAACCUUUGCGUAUAGUUCUGGUUCAAAAAUUGCAGGCACUAGCCAUCUCAAGAGGCACAUCACCCUCGGUUCCUGUCCUGUUAUGAAAGACCAAGACAGGAAGCUAGCACUGCCACCACCAGGAGGCCCUGGCACUGAUAAUGAUGGUGAGGGUACUGUAGAACGCCCUUUGAAGAGGCGCUACAGAUACACUGGUUAUGCAAAUGCUACUUUUGAUCAGGAAAGGAGCUUCUCUUAUCUGGCUAAGAUGAUUAUUUUGCAUGACUACCCGCUUCACAUUGUUCAACAGUCAGCCUUUACUACUUUUAUUGAGAGUCUGCAGCCCCGUUUCAAGGGUGUAGAUGUUGAAACAAUGGAGGGAGAGGUUUAUGCUGUUUUUCAGAAAGCAAAGGAAAACCUGUUGCAAGCAUUCAACACUAUGCCAGGAAGGAUCAGCCUCACUAUAGGCCUGUGGACAACCAGUCAGACUCUAGGCUAUGUUUCGCUUGCUGGGCAGUUUAUCGACUCAGAAUGGAAAGUACACCGAAGAAUGCUCAACUUCAUGAUGGUGUCUUCUCCUCAUUCAGAGAAUGCACUUAGUGAAGCUAUUAGCUCAAGCCUUUUAGAGUGGAAUAUGAAGGACAGGCUAUUCACUAUCACUUUGGAUAAUGAUUGCUCUUCCCAUGAUAUUUACAGUGCAAAUCUGAGGGAUCACCUCUCCAAUAAGAACAACCUCAUGCUUAAGGGACAGCUGUUUGUUGUGAGGUGCUAUGCACAUAUCCUGAAUGUAGUUGCUCAGGAUGUUAUUGCUUCGAUUCACGGUGUGAUUUACAACAUCCGUGAGAGUAUCAAGUUCAUAAAAGCUUCUCCAAGCCGUGAGGAGAGGUUUGCAGAGAUUGCUCUGCAGCUGGAGAUUCCCAGUACCAAGACCCUCUGUCUAGAUGUUACAACCCAGUGGAACACCACUUAUCUGAUGCUGCUGGCUGCCUUGGACUAUAAGCAGGCUUUUGCGACACUAGAGACAUUUGAUGAUAAUUACAAUGAAGCUCCUUCAGCAGAGGAUUGGAAGAAAGUUGAGGCUACCUGUAAUUUCCUGAAACUGAUAUAUGACUCUGCACAUAGCAUCAUGGCUGCAGCAAACCCUACUGCAAACAUCUUUUUCCAUGAAGCUUGGAAAAUUCAGCUAGAGCUAGCAAAUGGUACAGGACACGAAGAUCCCAUUUUCAGCAGCAUUGCCAAGGAUAUGCAUGAGAGGUUUGACAAAUACUGGAAAGAUUGCAGCCUGGUGUUAGCCGUUGCUGUUGUCAUGGAUCCACGUUUCAAGAUGAAGCUUGUUGAGUUCAGUUACUCUAAAAUUUAUGGUGCUGAGGCUGGGAAAUAUGUCAAGGUGGUCAAUGACUCUCUGCGUGAGCUGUACAAGGAGUAUGUGGCACAGCCACUCCCAUUGACCCCCACCUAUGUUGAACAAGGGGAAGCUAAUAAUGUGGCUGCCAAUGCGAAUGCUACUCAAGGAAAUCCUCCUUCCACUACUGAUGGUCUUCUUGACUUUGAUAUGUAUCUUUCUGAGAUUCAAAGUAGCCAGCCUGCGAAAUGUGAACUGGAGCAGUACCUGGAGGAAUCCCUCACUCCACGUAUCCAGGAGUUUGACAUCCUUAACUGGUGGAAACUUAACACGCUCAAGUUUCCAACUCUAUCGAAGAUGGCCCGGGAUAUCUUGGCCAUCCCCAUGUCAAUGGUUAGCAGUGGCAGCUCAAUAUUCUCUGCUGGAACCGGGAACCGCAUGCUUGAUGACUACAGAAGCUCCCUUCGUCCGGAGACUGUGGAGGCACUUGUCUGCGCAAAAGACUGGCUCCAGUAUGCACCAGAUCAAACUGAGGCGUCAGGUUCUGUGAUGGUCAAGUCAGAAGCAUCGUAGGUUCACUGUUGGGAGCUUCCAUGUUGGAGCAGGAAUAAGUUUGUGGUAUCAAUGAGUGUAGUUAACUGUAGGCAUAUUUUAGGCAGCGAUUGCAGAAACAUUGUGAUCUAUUAUGCUAUUUAUCUCCUAGUGGUGUAAUUUUUCGUGUCGAACUCAGUUUAACUCAUCGAAGUGUUCUUUAAUGUAUUGAGUUUAGCUGGUCUGUCUGCGGGAUGCAUAAUGUGGUAACUUAAUACAGUUAUAGCAGAUUUUUGCUAUUCUUGGCGCUGCCGUUCUUUUCUUGUCCUUUUCUUACUCUAUUGUUUACUGCACCGUCUAACAGUGGUUUGGUUAGUAUAAAAAAAACAGUGGUUUGGUUUUUUUUGCUAAUUAACCAUUAAAGCAAAUAGGUAUGUACUUAGUUUGCCUUGGCAAAGUGCUGUAGCAUCAACAUAGCCUCUGUUUUGUACGCAAUCCGCUAUGUACCGUGGAACGAUAUCCAUCUGAACCUGCAGCUGUAAAAGUUGCCUGACUAUUUUUAUCGGUGAUGUCACAUUGAUCUCCCAUCAGAGUUCAAUCGAAAUCAUCAAGGAUUACCACCUGCAGUGUUCCUCUUCUACACUUGGUGGCCGGCAUCAACGGGCUCCAAAGAUGCCGGUGCUAGGUUGUUGCUGCAUCCAGCUGACUAAAAGGAAGGCUUGGCACUUGACACAGUAGUCACACAGAUGAUCCUGAGGAUCCACAAUGUACUAGUCUAUUGUUGAUGCUUCGUAAUUCAAAGGGUGUUGAUCUUUCAAAAAACAAAUCAAAGGGGGCGCAUUCCUCCAGAGAAUACCACCGAAAAAGGGCACUCGAAACAGGAUCCGAUAAACUGCCACAAUUUUUUUUCAGUCAAAGGGCACUCGAAACAGGAUCCGAUAAACUGCCACAAUUUUUGUUCAGACUGAAAGGCCUCAUCCCUGCCUCAGUAUAGAAAAUAAGACUGUUCAAAUUUACAGCUCAUUUGAUUGUAGCAAACACGCUUAAUAUUCUGGUAACCCUCAGCUUGCCAAACCAGAGUAGUGCUGAUUUUUUUCUGACACGGCACAGUUACUACUUACUUGCAUGAACAAGACACCAGAACUCAGACUUUGACACCACACAGUACUCCAGAGCCAGGAACUUGCCAAAACAUACUCGAGGUCCUCUUAUCAUUUUAUUCCACAGGACAAAAUUAAACUCCCAAUGCUUUUUCUUCCUUCUGCCUAAAAUCUUAAACUGUCACCAAUGGCUUGCAUAACAGCACAAACAACACAAUUUUAAGAAACACACAGCCAACAAAGUGCACACAUGACAGCAUAAAUUUAAACAUGGAAUUAAAAAAUAUCACAGAAAGAAGAUCAACGACAAAAAUUAUUAGAAUGCAAGAAUGCUGUAUAUCAAAGGAACGCUGAAUGGUAAUAAGAAAACAAUGUGGUUCUUUACUGCCUGGUGGAAUUCACCAAGGAAGAGAAUCCAUCAGAAGACAAGUAAGCUGAAAGCCUCAAUGUUUGCUCCCAGAUAAAGCAAAAAACAUCAAUUAUCAUGACCUUAGUUCAUCUUAUUAAUUUAAGACUUGGUUUCAUGGUGCAAACAAGACACUGGGCCAGCUUCUCUAGCCUAUUCAGUGGACUUGACAAUGAAGUUCUGGCGGCUGAUGGGGUUCAUGAUGACCGGUGGUCCAGCGGUGCGAGGCCAGGCCUGGAACUUGGCGUCUGUGGCUUUCAACCACUCCUUGUCAGAAACAGUCUUGGGAAUGCUACCUAUUUCCAAAAAAUACGGAGCAGGUUAGACGAAAACUUGCAAGAAGUUAGGCACAGGCAUCCUACAGGAACAUCGGCAAGACGAGAGAGGUGACACUAACCACCAAAUGCCUUCUUGUCGGAAACAAAUGUGUCACACAGGUAUGCAAUGGCGAAGGACCCAACCAGCGAGCCAACAAUGUAUCCAGCCGUCAUUGUCUCUGCACAAGAAUGAAUUGAGGUACAAAUUAUCAAAAAGAUGCUACAAAAACCAUUUGUGUGACUCAAGGCAGGCCUGAACCUAGUCCGUCGCAAAACUAUGCAAGUCAUUGCCCAAUCAAACUAUUGGUUGGGCAUGCUUCCUUAUGACACUGACACAUGAACCAGGAGGCAGAUAAACAGAGCAAACUCCAAGCCAACAAUACUGAACGCAAACUUUGUGCCUCAUGCACAUGUAAAGAGAUAAAAUAUCUGUUUUUUCCCAGAAAAAAUCACCAGCUACACAAUGGUACACGAAGUGCUAAAUCCAAAAUGUAUCCUCACCAGAAGUGCCACUCAACAGGCUUCUAGCUAAAAAAACUCGAAGGCUUUAACGUGACAGAAACAUAUACACAGUGUAAUCUCAGCCGAUGGUUAUCAUAAUCUUAUUAGUUCUGUUUGAAUAUAUGACACCCCAAUUGCAUAUUUUGGGGUGAAUGGAAUUGAUCCGUCAUGUAAGAAGGCGUAUGGACAUAUGAACCUGUAGUUCUGAUAGAGGUAUAACGGUGGCCAAUGUAUCCUGAUUGUUUAUCAACAGCAAACGGAAAUGAUCAAACACUCGAAAAUCAAAGAUUGAACCCAACAAACGCGUCCACAAUAUUCCCCUUAGCACCGAAUGAAUCCGCGAUGAAGGUGUUCUGCGGAACACAGCGAACAGCUAGGGCCUCCCCACUCCUCAGCUAGGAAAACGAAAAGAAAUCAACACAAGUUCGGAUCUAUUGCCUCUCCAAUCGGUUCCAGGGAGGGUGAAGACAACGAGGUGAGGGCGCCCAGGAGGGAGGUGGUACGGUUUGAGGCGGAAGGAAGGAUACCUGGAUCUGGAUCGACGCGGUGCUCGGCGCGGACGGAGGCAGCGAGGGGGAGAUCCUGCAAAAGUUGGGGGGACGAGAACGAAUCUGGUGACCUUUGAACGGGUGUGCGAGGAGGAUCGCAGGAGAAAAAAAUGGAGGCGGAACUAGUUCGGAAGAGGGUGCGGACGGGUCAGGUCAGUUUCUGGGCUUCAUAGAGUGGCAAUUGCGUGUAAUUUCACGAGCUAUCUCUAGUUUUUUUUAGGUUAUUUAUUCAUCGACAGAGUUACCAGAGUUAUAAAUGUCCCGAGGCGGAUUUAAAACCAAAUUUAGCUACCAAACUCAGCAUAAAUCGCACUCCUUGCAAUGUUGUGAGCAUCCAUAUUGGAGCACUUAUUUCAUGAAUAAAAUCAACAUUGUCAAACUGCGUUGCUGUAGCCUUUAUCUCCCUGUGAUAUGGUCAUGAGCGGUCAUUUCUCCCUCCUUGAUUCCUCUUAUCACAUUAACAUUGUCCGAUGCUAGCCUGAAGUGUUGAAUCAUGAGAUCACUCACCAACGCCAAGCCUUCCCUGCACGUAUUAACCUCGACGGUCUCUGCAUCCGAGAGUCCACGAAUCACCAGCGUAGACGCUCCUCGAAAGUUUCCUGCAGCGUCCCUAGCCAUGGCAGCCACCACUGUCUUGCUUGAAUUUUUCGCAGUGGCUGCAUCGAUAUUGAUUUUAACAUGGCCUAGUGGUGGGGAAUCCACCGAGGUCGGACACCUUGGGUACGUCUCAUUGACGCUGCCUGCACCAUCUUGAUCAUCUCCAAAUCAGUUAUAAAAUUGUUUACAAAACAGUGAGUAGAUGAAAGACUUUGAAAAGAGCUCUCGUAGAUCGCCUUCCCGCGAGCAUACCAGAUGGCCCACCAUCCUCAUCAGAUCCUCCUGCUUUAGCGAGCUGAUAAUAACCGCUAACCAUCCCCUAGACUUAGUCUCGUGAGUUUCACUCAUCAGCGGUGUAAUUUCCUCGCGUUCCAGAGCCCACAUACAUUUCGUCAUAUUGCACUCUAUCAAUAAGUACUUCCCAGAAUCAGGCAUACCACAGAUCGAACAGGUGCUUCGAGUAGCUAUAUUCCUAUAAUAACGUCACCUGACAGCAAGAACUCCACAUGCUACCUUGACCUGCCAUCCAUUUUCCUCGGAGCAAUAUUCUCUAUACGCUGUACGAGCUGUCUCUAGUAAAGAGUGUACGGACCAACUUAAUCAUUAGCAAAUUCGGCCCGGAGCAUCCUGGGCUAAAAAUACAGGUUUGGCAAGGCCCAGUACGCCAGGCACGGGGCCUGGCGUCGCGCCAUGAGCCCAAACGAAACUGGGCUUGACCAGACACAAACUCAAAUGCCAGUCCAACCCCAUCCGUCUAUCCCAGUUCCCAGAGAGCUCUCCCGAAGCGUCUCGUUUUCCUGAUACGUCCAGAUAGGCGACUUCGAGGCGAUUUUCUUCCCCACCGCCGGAUUCUCUGGCUUUCCUCGCCCCCGGUGGCUGGGCGCCGGUGAGCUUGGAGAGUUGGGAAUCCAGUGGGUGGUGUACGUAUCCUCUUCUAAUAGUGCAUAUCUGGGUAGGUUAGAGUUGGAUUACUUCCCGGUGAGGAUCUCGCCGGAAAUGUUUUGUUUCUUCCCGAGCUUCUCCGAUGUCAACUAUGUUGACGGUUGGCGGGUUCCGGUGGUGGUCUGUGGGCGAGAGGAGCUCAGCAACAGUAUCAUCUGCAGGAGGUUUGGCAUCGACGAUUUUUCCUUCGUUCUCUUCAUUUGCGUGUUCUCUUACUGGUGGCGUGUUCACCGGGAUUUUGUCCCUCCAAGGAGUUUUCCCUUGGAGGUUAAGACUCCACUUGCUCCUGUAUGCGGGCUGGUGUUCUUGGAUCCCCUUUGUGGGAUUGUUGCUUUUUGGCUGGAGUUUGCCAGUGAUGCAACUGAUAUCUGUUUCCGAUAAAAAUGGGGUUUGCCUAGGGCGUUCAACGGAUGAAAAUUUGAAGACUUUUCGUCGAAUAGGGAAUCGGCCGGAAGCUUUAUUCUAGGUCAUCUUCUUCAUUGCGGGAGAUGGAGGAGGACCAGGUUGAAGCAGCGAUGGUCGGCGACGGUAACGGGCACUGGAUGCUCCUGUAAUGGACUUAUGUGUCAUUUUAUCUUUUUUUCAGGGGUACCCGGUCAGGAACUUGGUUGUAAGAGUACUGUAUCAAUAAAAAUCCAACUCUUUUUUUAAAAAAAAGAUAAACUCAAACGUGAUCAAAACAAUCGGACUACUCGGUUGUGCAGCUGCAGCCAGCCGCAAGUAGCACAACCAAAUAGGCUCAAUGUGAAGUUUGUUCAUUGUAUACGAAUGAACCAAUAGUCGUAAGUGAUCUAUAAUCGCAUUUUUCCUUUAAAAAAUAAUCGCAUUUUCCCCACAUUUCAUGGCAUGGAUGAAGCACGAAAACUUACUUGCCGAUCCCUCCGGCGAUUCGGCCGAGGUGCACGGCAGCACGGGCGGUGCCGGCGUGCCGCGGCGUCCCAACUCCGCAGUCCCCACUCCACAAGUCCACAGCAACCGACUCGCGUCCGCCAAGCUCGUCGAGACUUCGCAACAAAAACAGUGCCGAUCGGAUCUUCCAGUGACAGGAAGAUCGCAUCCACGAGGCGACGAUAUCGAUCACUGACACGAACCAACAACCCCCCGGAUCUCGCCAGGUUCGCCGCGCGCCACUUGCGAGAUCGCCCGAUCAAUGGAUCCAUCGGACGAACGGCCUCGCCCGCGCCAUCACGCCGUGGCGGUCGGCACCAAGUACAAAGAAGCGCCGCGAGCGGGCAGGCGUCGCCAUCUGCCGGUGCCGGGGGCUCAGCUCUCUUCUUUAACUCGCUUACCGACAACACUUCGAGCAAGCUCGCGCGCGCACUCACUCUCAUUCACUGAGCCAUUACUCAGCUCACCUACUCCAGAUCUCAUGGUGCCCUCGCGCUGCAGCCGCCACCACCGCCUCCUCCCCACGACCAUGGCCGCAGCGUGCUUCCUCCUCCUCCUCGCGCUCUACGCCGCGCCGGCGCCGGCCCACGGCGCGCGCGCCCUGACGCGGGGCGGCGCGGGCGCGGUCACCAAGGCGGCGCAGCAGGGCGGGACCAGCAGCAACGCGACAGCAGCGGCGGCGGCGAACGAGUACCUGGCGCCGCACAACCAGGCGCGCGCGGCGGUGGGCGUGGCCCCGCUGCGGUGGAGCGGGGACCUGGCGUCGGCCGCGGCGGCGGUGGUGGUGCGGCAGCAGCGGCAGGGCGGGUGCGCGUUCGCGGACAUGGGCGGCAGCCCCUACGGCGCGAACCAGGGGUGGGCGAGCUACCGCGCGGCGCCCGGCGAGGUGGUGGCGUCGUGGGUGGCGACGGGCCAGUACUACACCCACGCGAACAACACGUGCGCGCCGGGGCGGCAGUGCGGCACCUACACGCAGGUGGUGUGGCGCCGCACCGCCGAGGUCGGCUGCGCGCAGGCCACCUGCGCCACCGGCGCCACGCUCACCGUCUGCCUCUACAACCCGCACGGCAACGUGCAGGGACAGAGCCCCUACUAGAUGUGCGAGCUCGGUGGGGGGCGACCGGCUGAUCGAUCGGGUUGGUGCUCCCUCCUGCUGAGCCGCCGACGCCGAUGCCACCGGCGCUGGAGCGCGAUGCGGCAUGGUUAGAGUAAGAGACGCCUACUACGUAGCUCUAGUAUUUUCAGGUUCGGUCACGGUUUGCUUCGUGUUUGUGGUGUGUGAUCCGGUGGUGUUCUUGGUGUUAAGAACUGCUUUGGUGUGGCGUGUUAACUUGAGUUGCCGGGGAAACGCUUGUGAUGUGAUGCUUUCUUGUUCCUUGUGUCGAUCGGCGUUAGACUCGCUGUGCUGCGUAGAAAUGGCUGCACAAUCAGGCUCUGUUUGAUCACCCAUGGGCUGCAGAGUUGGAGCAGGGGAUUUCCAUAUGAAUCGGGGCUGGCAAUCAAACAGAUGUGCGGCAGAUCAAACUGCAUGCUUGUUACUACAAUUUUUUUGCUUAGUGACUGGGGCAACCGACACACUGGCAAAAGCGAAUUGAUCGUCCCCUUUCUUUUAGAGGACCGUCAAUUGCUGGCGUUUCUUUAGUGGUGCAGGCGCUACUAUAUUGUUAAACCCACAGUUUUGGCAAAUCCGUAAUGCCUGCCAGUCUGUUUUGCUCACACCAAAAAAGAAUGGUCAAGAACACAGAAAUGAAGCACGGCAGACUAGGACCGGUCCCAGUUCGCCAUCGUCGGCGCGCCACAUGCUGCCGGCUUGAGAUCCCUCAAACCUCACCGAACGAUGGAGAGCGGCCAGCGGUGAGUAUCACCUCGCGAGUCGCGCCAGCAAUGGAGCUCCGUGGUUGGCGUGUUCCCCAAACGAGGGCGCCGUGGCUACAAACGCUGGGCCGCUCGUCACAUGGCUAAUGGCUUGGUGACUUGGCACGGGCACGAACGGCACACACAACUGAGACAAGGCAGCACGCGCCCACGGGCACCGUGGCAUCGAUUUGUGAUUGUGAUCGGUCGACACUAAGCAUCUACGCCAGGCCAGUACUAUAUAUCCUCCAUGACAUUCCGCGAAUAAAAUCACAAGCGUGUGCGGCUGGACGUACGGUAGGAAGACGCACGAAUGCCCGACACCCCGACUGACCCUACUCCAUGCUGCUAACCGAAGUCUCGCUACACUGGCCACCGAUCUCCGCGGCCUUUUUGGUCCCACCUUUUCUAACCUCGCUGGUGCCUCCUCGCUGCUCCACCCGCCAUCCCUCUAAGCCCUAGUAACCAAGCUCUGAACCCGAACCUGCUAACCCAAACUCAAGUGGCGGACGGUGGUAGAAGUGGCGACAAAGGAAGAACGCACGCGGAUGAGGAAGAAAAAUUAGGGAGGAGAUAAGUGGGGCCCACUGACCAAGGAGGAGGGGGGGGGGGGGGAUUUAAUAUUUCUGUUCUCGUAGAGUUUCAUGCUCAGUCUUUAUGUUCACCAAUGGUUUUCUUAAAAAUGAAUUCUAAAAAAUAUUUUUAUUAAAAAAUAAGGAUUUUCCUAAAAAAGAGGAUACCAUUGUCGGUGCUCGUAGCAGCACGCAGCCAUGCACGAUCCAAGUGACACUACACGCUCGCCAUCAGCCAUCUCUAGGCUCCCGACCAUCAUCACACCGGAAAUGCUCGCAUCCAUAUAUCCGCAUAUCGUUGGCAGAUCAACCUCGGACCACUCCCUCCCCCCUUUUUGUUCUGUAAUUUUUACAAUAUUGGUCACAUAUCCUCAAAUUUUAUUUUAUGUGCAAAUUUUUUCCACGAGUUUGAUUUGCUCCCAGGUGUGUAAAGUUUUGUUCCUCAUGUAUAAUUGUUUUUACUAUUUUCAAAAUAUUUAGUAUUUUUCUUAUGAAGCUGGAAUAUUUUUCUUAUAAAGGUGACCAUUUUAUUGUGAAGCAUCAUUAUUCUUAUUAUUAUGGGCUAAUUUCCUUGUAAAGUCGAGCAAUUUUUCUCAUCGCUUGGAACAAUUUUCUCAUGAAGCUAAAGCAUUCUCUCUAGCAUUUCUAGAAAAAAAAUAUCACUUUUAGUUCGAACAUUUUUAUUCUAUAAACCUUUUCUCGUGAACCUGGAACAUUGCUCUGCUCAAUAAAAAAAAUUCGUUGAAAAAUGUCAAAUAUACUCAUGGAGUUCUUGGUUUAUUGCUCUUAUUGUAAGAUAAGAAAUAUAACGAUUCAAUCGGGAUUUGAAAAAUAUAACGCAAACAUGCUGCCAGAAUCUGGAAACCCGUUGCCAUGAUCCGAUGCACCGUCGCGGUCUACCAUGCAUCCGCUAGAAUGGCAUGCAAGAAUUUGUUGCAUCCAACUAGGGUCUUGUUUAGUUCCCAAUUCGGGAGUGGUCAAAUUGGCAUUUUGCCAUAAAUGCGUAACUGUAGCGUUUCGUUUGUAUUUGUGAAUUAUUGUCCAAAUAUUGACUAAUUAGGCUCAAAAGAUUCAUCUCGUAAAGUACAACAAAACUGUGCAAUUAGUUUUUGAUUUUGUCUACAUUUAGUACUCCAUGCAUGUACUGCAAAUUUGAUGUGAUGGGGAAUCUUCUUUUUGCAUAGUGUCAAAGUUGGGAGUUUGGAGGGACUAAACAUGGCCUAGGUACGUAGUAUGGAUUGGAUUGGAGAGGAUUACGAAGGAGUUUGUUAACGCCGGCCGGAUCAGCUCCUCGGUGUGCAUGCAAGAGGGAUCCCAACUAACUCGUGCGUCAAACACCGAAAACCCCCUCGUUCCUCGUCACAUAUAUACGUCUGUUUCGCGCCACGUCCCCGGAACGCGCGCGGGCGUGCAGCUGCACCAUGCCGCCGGCGGUCGUGCCAGUGGAGGACGGCGGCGGCGCCGCCACCGCGGACGAGGCGACGUACUACAGCUGCCACGUCGCGUGGCUCGCGUGGUGGAACAACGUCCGCUGCGCCCUCGCCUCCACGUUCCUCCCGUGCCCGCCGGCGGCGCCGACGUCCGCCACCGUCCGCGGCACGCUCUUCCUUCCCUCCGCGGGCGACCGCCGCGUCCGCCUCUUCCUCCAGGAGCACGGGGACGCCACAGAACAUCCAGUGGACGACGGCGGCGAGCACUUCCUCGUGCUCGACCUGCCGCCCGGCCUCGGCGGCGCGGACAUCGCGGCGGCGGGCAGGAUCGUGCUCGAGUACCAGCGCCAGUGGGCGCCCCACGCCGCGGCCCCCGGCGGCGGCGCGCUCCUCGCCUCGCCCAAGUGGCUGGUGUACUGCAAUGGCCGCCGCGCCGGGUACGCGGCGAGGCGGGAGGGGCCCUCGGACGCCGAGGGGUGGGUGCUGGAGAAGCUGCGGGCCGUCACCGCCGGCGCCGGCCGGCUGCCCGGCGGAGGGGUGGAGUACCUGCGCGGGAGGUUCGAGAGGAUCGUCGGCUCGCCCGACGCGGAGUCGUUCCACCUCCUGGAGCCGAUCGGGUGGCCCGAAUUGAAGGGCGGCGGCGGCGGCGUUGACGGCGACGGUGGCCUUAGUAUCUUCUUCCAUCGGAUUUGAUCGAGGUGUAAGCAUUUCGUGUUAGUGGCCGCUACUGGUGUUGCGCGUGUACAAAUCCCCAAGUCCCAAACAAAUUAAAAUGGCAGCUAGUAUUAGUUUAGACUCUGCUCGAUCGUCUUAUAAACCAAAUCCAUUUCUUUGAGACUUGGUCUAUUUAAAUUUUGAUGAUGAACUUCCCAAAACAGAUGACCAGAUUUAGGUCUUGUUUAGUUGCCAAAGUUUGGAGGUGCUAAAUUACUGUUACAGCACUGUAGCACACUGUAGCGUUUCGUUUGUAUUUAUGAAUUAUUGUCCAAACAUUGACUAAUUAGGCUCAAAAGAUUCGUCUCGCAAAAUACAACAAAACUGUGCAAUUAGUUUUUAAUUUCGUCUAUAUUUAGUACUCCAUGCAUGUACCGCCAGUUUGAUGUGAUGGAGAAUCUUCUUUUUGCAUAGUGCUAAAGUUGGGAGUUGGGGUGAACUAAACAAGGGCUUAACAACUCUCCUUUUCAGAAUAGGGAGCGAGUAUUUUCUGGACAUCCUCAGGGUGGUGCCCCGUUCCAAAUUGUAGGUGGUUUUAACUUUUAUAGGUGCAUAGAUAUUAUGCACGUACAGUAUCUGCCACAUGUGUUUGUGUACAGACAAUAUAUGAUGGUGGUGGAAUCACGUGGUGUGCGGCAUGCACACAUAGCAUGAUAUUCUCUUGAGAAAAAAAUAUAUUUAGAUGCAUAAUAAUAUUAAUAAAUCUAAAAAAUCUAAAACGAUCUAUAAUUUAGAACGGAUGGAGUAAAAAGCAACAUGGUUCUAUUUUUAAAACCACGUGAAGCGAGAGUGUUGUCAAUGCUUCCUGUUUGUAACUUUGUAUGCAGAUGAUAAGAGUGUAUUCGAUCUGGUGAUUUACUCGAGCAUUUUGAGGAAAAAUUGGGGGCUGACAAGACCACGUAAAAAUACUUGGGUGAGAAAAAAAUAUAUCAGGUGCAUAUUCUUGAUAAGACACGGCAUAUUUUGAGUGCGACAUGACACUUCAAAUCAACCUGAUUUGUCAUUCUGUCGAAUACACCUACCGAAUCCAGAUAGCUAUGCACAUUGCAGUCAGGCUUGAGGCUGGAGAUAUAGGGGCUAUUGUGCCAUUGUGAAUACACAGUGAUGCAAUCAUGCAACCACGCGCUAGAUUGUAAGUAUUGCUGGACCCUUUUUUCUUUUUCUUUUUAUUUUCUCUCUGUCUUUUUGGCAAAAUGAGUUCUAUGUAGCGUGUACAAGCUAGCACUACCAAAACUAGCUUCCUCUUCUCUUCCAAUAGCACAUUCUAUAUAUAUUCACAACCUUUUAAAAAAACUACUGUAAAAGCUAACAAAUUCAAUCAGCAACUUCUGAUCAUUUAAUUUUGGAAUUUGAAAAAGGAUAGGGAUUUUUGAGAAUGAAUGCAUACGUGAGCUUCAAAAUUAUUCAUUUGAACUUUCAACUGCAUUGCUAUUGAGAACUCUGAAUUUAUUAGGAGAGGUAAAAAUGAUGAAGUUGGUGUUCAAAUAUAAUAUUCAUGAGGUUAGAACACUUAAGGCUUUCAAGCCGAAGCAAUGCUGCUAGCACUACGAUUUUAUCUAUAAGUGCCACACCAUUGCAUUUUUUUUUCAUUCCCUGCUCCAUCAUCCUAAAUCAAUUAGCAAGACAACAUUGGCGGGAACAUGCUUAGAUUGCUGUUGAUGAUGCAUACGAAGGGUUCAGCCCCAUGAUCUGUCUUAUUCUCUUCUUUUGUCGAGUGAGCUAGACUUGAAUCGCAUCAAGUGCUGCUUUCAAAUAGAGUGAGCAUCAUAAUUUGCACUACUCAAGCACCAGUAAGACCCUCAAGAGACAGUCAUAUAGGACAAUAUACCAUCUAAUCAAUUCUCCUAUUAAAAUUGUUAGAGAUGAUAGAAUAAGGAUGUUGUAUAUUGGUAACAAGUCUAUAAACCGUGUGACUAGAAGCACUCCCCACGCCCAUGUUCGAGCCCCUUUAUAAUCUAAUUCAGGUGCUUUUUAGUCUUAGUAGUGCAAAAAUUACUAAGUUUUUGUAAGGUUUAUUAUUACUUUGUUUGUUGUAUAAGAUAAAAAUUAUUAUGCACAUAUAUACAAAAUUUAUAUUUCUUUAUUUAAUGUUCUAUAGAUAUUUAGAUCAACAUAUAUGAUGAGUGUUGUAAAGUUUGCAGUAUUAUCCUUUUUUUUUGUAGUCCUCUAUUUUCAAAUACAUGUCACAAUUUGAUGACUUUAUUCGUCUGGAAAGACUUCACAACUCUCAAGAUAUGCUUUCUCAAAAUACAUUUACAAGUUUAACCAUAUACUAUCCAUAUGUGCCCAAAAUAUUUUUGAAUUAAAAAAAAUGUUAUCCAUUUUCAACAAGUAGUGACUUGUUUCUUUGUACGUUGCUCAUACUGUUCUCUGUGUUAAGUAGUUUUUUUCUAGAAAUAUUGAACAAUACUUUACAUUUUUUGUGGGGCCGGUCAUUGUCUAAAAUAUCACCAACUUAUUUAGACCGGAUGAAGUUUGGGAAUGAGAUCUAGACUGCUUAGGCCAUGCCAAGCUUUGGCCCUUGUGCCUUCUGAAGCAUUCACCACAUUUUGUCACAACUAUGACAUACAAGCUGGUUGAUGUUCGGAAAUGUUUGGUUUCGAUUCACAUCUUGGAGGCAGUAGUGCACAUAGUACUAGUAGUGUGUUAGGUUGGGCAACCAACUUCACCAUUUAUGAACACAAUUGAGCAGCAAGAGACUUUGUGUAAAAGUCAACUUUUUUUUACUAUCAUCUGCUUAGUCAUAUAUAGCCUAGAAUCGUUUCCUACCCCUUACAAAUUGUUGGGCUUUCACUUGAUGAGGUCCACACAUCUAGACAUGUAGCUGGAGUUGUGGCGAUGCUUGACCUCUUGGACAACAAGUUAUGAAUGGUUUUGGCACUAUUUUUCGACUCCAUAAAUUUGACUAACUAUGCAAUAAUGCUUGACAAAACAAGUCCUGCUGAGAACCAAACAUGUUUGAUGGGUAUAUGUCGAUGUUUGAACCCGACAACCUACCGAGGGGGUGCUUAAGAUAGUAUUUUGGUUAGUGGGGCUCGUUGAGAUUAGGAACUAUAAACGCACACACACGUUUAGAAAGGUUUGGGUGUGUUCAGACAGGUUCGGGCUGCCAGAGUAGCGUAAUACCCUACGUCCUGUUUGAGGUGUUGUAUAUUGCGUCCUGCGCUUGGGUGUUAUUUGGUGUUGAGAAUUUGGUCCUCUGUUGUGGUUCUAUGAGUUCUUUGCCUACCGAUCUAGGGACCCCUGCCCUCCUUUAUAUACUCCAGGGGGCAAGAUUACUAGUCGGUUACAAGGAGUCCUAGUAGGAUUACAGGAUAUGAGUCCUAGUAGGAUUAUAGGGGAAUCCUAGUAGGAGUCCAUCUUCUUCCUUCCGUGCGGGUAUUGGGGAUCUAUCCUUGACAAGCCCCCGAGUGCUUCAUAGUCGAAUGCAACAGUCUUCGAGUACUUUUCAGAUCCUCACCGAGUAGUUUAAUGCUUCUCGAGUACUUUGUCUGGCUGAAUCUUCAAAGUUCUUCAAAGCUGCCAUGAGGCUAUGGUGUGCUCAAGUCCUUGAUCGUCUUAAUUUAAUCUUCAUCUUUGGAAUGUGAUAUGGAGAGCAGCGGAAGUCGCAUUCCAAGGCUCGGGGGCUGAGGGUCAAUAAAAUCUUGAAUCUUUCUUUCUUCAUCUUGAAAAAAAUCAACUGUUGGGUAUAGCUUAUCAGCCCCGGAGUCUUGGAAUGAUUAAAUAAUCAAUCCAAGGGUGUUUAGUCUUCACUCAAGUCGUCUUUCGAGUAGUUAUUUGACAUCCAACUCCCGAGCUUAUGCGCCAGGUGAGCCGUAGAAGCCACAUUGAGUAGUUAUUUGGCGCUUAGCCCCCGAGCUUGGAAACUAGCUGAGUCAUUGGAGAUGUUAUGAGUAGUAAUCGGUGCUUAGCCCCCGAGCCUGGGAGCUAGCAGAGCCAUUGGAGGUACGCUGAGCGUCCUGGAGAGUCGUCAUCGAAUCUUGACCUGAAAAAGAGAUGCAUAUAUUAUUUAACAUAUUUGUAGAAUUUUGAAACUAUUGAAAUUUAUUCAGUGAUGAAUGUAAUAUAAAUGUUAUGUGUCAUGCUCUUGUUUCGGUCAUAUUUUUUUUCGAAUAGUUAGCCUUUUACGUUUAGGCUCUCAGUCCCUGUUUAGCCAUUGCCACUGCAUGUGAGAUCUUUAUCUCGUGUACGCGUACUGGCACUGCUGCUAUGAAGAUCUUUGUCUCGCGUCCUAGCGUUUAGUCAUGACAGAAGAUUUGAGGCUUUUACGAAUUAAGGCGUGUUCUGCUCGUGUAGAUUAACAACCCCUAAGAGAAGACACUGAAAAUAAGUAGUCAGCAUUGCGACAAAAAAACUUGCGAGAUUGCGCGUAAAGUAGUCAUUAAAACAUUUCUAUCUUUAGGCGUGGAGAGCGUGUGUUGCCGCGCAUAGGAUUCGUGCCUCACUAGGGUGUAGCCGCUGUGAGCCUCCAAUACUUAGUGCACCAAACUUUGUGGCAGUGCCUUCUAAUUCGGUGUACCAAGCCUGUGGCGGAGCUUCCAAAACUCAGUGCACCAAACCUGUGGUGAUAGCCUCCAUAAUUCGGUGUACCAAGCCCAUGGCUGUCAGUCAACAUGCCCCAAGAAUAGUCGGCAAAGUGUAUCUCUGGAGGGUAAUUACCGUCGAGAGGCGUACAUAAAUAAGUACUUGGCAUGUUGCCUUGCAUGUGGAAAACAAGCCGGAAAAAUUAUAUAAAAUAAUUAAAAAAGUGACUUAGCUUGAUUUGUGGAUGAUUGUCGAUGAAGCCGUGUCGAUUGUUGAUGAAGCCAACUAGUCAGAGUCAAUUCCGACUAAUUGUUGAUCAUGUGGAACCCGCCCUCGACUAAUUUUCUAGUCAAGACGAGUAGUCGAAGUAGACCGUCCUCAACUAGUUUUCUAGUCGAGACGAGUAGUCGAAGUAGUCGUCGGUGACUUGAUGCGGUUGGACGUCGGGGUAGCAGUGCUCGCGUACAUCUUCUAUGUACGUUAGGCUAUGAUUUUGAGGUCUUGUGGUAGCCUUCCAUGUGCGUGUAGUAGAAAUCCCUCAAAAUUGCUUUUCACGAAGAGUAGUUGGAGCUGAUUAUUUACUACAAUCCGUGCGUGACUGUAACAGAUCUUUGUCAUCUUGGGAAUUAUGGCAUGGGUCCUCGUGCGUGACUGUAACAGAUCUUUGUCAUCUUGGGAAUUAUGGCAUGGGUCCCUCGGUCUGCCUGAUCUCCCAACUCGAAUCGGAUUUGCCUAUGCCUUGAUCGACGAGCCGUAUGCAGCAGCCUGCGAUAGAAACCGACUCGAUCUUCGACUAGAACACGGAGCGCAUCGAUUCUGUCUCGGCGUAGAUUUGUCUGCUUGGAACUCCGACUCGGCGACUUGCUUCUUGUUGAGUAGAUUGAUCUUGAUGAUGAUGUCCUUCAAGUUUGCUGGAUGAUCUCGACGAUCACCCCUAUCUAGCGCGCCAGAUGUUGGUACUUUAUACUCGCAACCUACCGAGGGUAUUGCGAGGUAGUAGAUUGGUUGGUGGGGGAUUGCCGGAUCUGAAACUUGAUGGUAAAAGCGAGGAUACAAGACAGAUUUAUACAGGUUCGGGCCACCAAAGUAGCGUAAUACCCUACGUCCUGUUUGUGGUGUUGUAUAUUACGCCCCGCGCUUGGGUAUUGUUUGGUGUUGAGAAUUUGGUCCUCUGUUGUGGUUCUAUGAGGUCUUGGCCUACCGAUCUAGGAACCCCUGUCCUCUUUUAUAUAUUCCAGGGGUGGAAUUACUAGUCAGUUACAAGAAGUCCUAGUAUGAUUACAGGAUAUGAGUCCUAAUAGGAUUAUAUAUGAAUUCUAGUAGGAGUUCAUCUCUUUCUUCGUUACGGAUACUGGGAUCUAUCCCGACAAUACAUAUGAGGGCUGAUGUGCCGUUUGAUUUUAGUCAUCUGUCAACAGUCUCAAUACAGGAGGUUGAGCCUCUUGUCGUCUCAAUGUAACGAGAGGCAUGAACAUAAUGCAUAAACCAUUCACGUGACAAACAAACCGGCAAUUAUGAGGAUCGUGCAAGCACACCAAACUUUGUAAAACAAUGUGUGAAACCAAUAGAAGGAUGUGUUCAGCAGUAUGGACGAUUGUGUUUGCAUUUAGUUACACGACCAAAGACUUGAAAAAUUUAAGGCAAAUUGAAUACUAAUCCAAAUAAGUUUUUUUCUUAACAUGGCAACCAGUACAAAGUUAACUUUUUAGCAUCAGUGCCGCACUGGGGUACAUACUCUACUUCUAUACCAACAUCUGCUGCUCUACAAAUCCCCAUGUCAAAAGUAUUUUCCGUUAUGCGCUAUGGAUAUGAAACUGGUUUGUUGUAGAGAUAUAGUUUGAUUUGCACAUGUGGAUUUUAAUUACUUAUUACUGAAGAAAGCGAAACGGUAGUUCGAUAUGCACUAGUUCAAUUUACCAUGUGCACAUCAUCAUCUCAAGAACUCCGGGCAAAAUUUAUUUAAGAAAAAUGCAACUCGUACUUUGAUAUAACCCAUCAUGUGUCAUCUUGACUCGUCACACUCUUACAUAAAUAAAUAGCAAAAGAUAACCAUCACUCGAAAACCAUAGGUCGUCAACUACUGCCAGCUAUACUCAUAAGUUGACCUGAUAUUGCCAGCAACAGCAACAAUAUCUCUCCUUACUACUGUACAUCACAAAGGACUUGAUGCAACAGCAAAACCAAAAUUUAGAAAAAAUUGCGCAAAAAUUCCAUACCUUGAGAAAGUAGUUGGAGUAGUACGCAUAAACUGUAGUAGGCUUAGGAAGUUUGUGAUAUUGGCACGGCUCAAUCAGAUCAAAGGAAGACACCACCACCUCAUCACAAGGGCAAAGAUCACCCGAUUUGAUUGAACCAUGCCAACAUCGCACGCUCCCAGCCAACCCUUGCUCCUAGCCGAGCUGACCUUCUUCUUGCUCCUCUGCAGCCAAGCUCCCAACGCAAGCUCAAGAGAGAACCUGCUGGCUACUGGCAACGGAACAAGGCAAUAGCAAGGCAGCAAGCUGCUGAAUUAAUAGGCGCGCGGCGGCAACGACGACGAUACCAAUGGACGUAUACGUAAGCCGAGAAGAAAAAAUAAACUAAAGCAAAAUAUAACGAAAUGGUUGGGACGUCGAUGUCUCGCUCUCGCCGAGCCUCAUGAAGAAAAUGAAGAAACCACGCAUCGCACGGACGGAAAAUAUAAACACAAAUUGCAGCAGCAGGCCAAGCCAAAGGGCAAAGGCGUAAGGAAGAGAGGUAGGCAUGGCCCGACCAGCCAAUGACUUGCCUUGCCGAUGCGUCUUUCCUCGGGGUAGUGGUUGAUGACUUGCGGCAGCCAGCGAGCUACCGUCUCCGCCCAGCAGCCCACCCCCCUCUGCCGGCCUGUAUUCAUGCGCUCCACCUGCCUGGCCGGCCGGCAGGACGGGAGCACGCACCAGAAGGCCAUUUUUUUCAGCGGGAUAACCUGCCUCCCGCGGUGAUUUCCGUCUGAACUCCCGUUGGCCGGCCGGCCGCGGCGGAUUGACCGCUUCUUGCAUCGGAACAGUACAGGCCGGUUUUGGUCAGGAGUUAGGCUGGCUUUGCUUGCGUCGUCAGCUGAUUACGUGUGCUAAUGUGUUGCUUGUGAAGCGUGAUUUGUCAGGUCAGUUGGGGCCUUGGGGGAGACAGUAGUACAGCAACGCGAGCAUGAGUGCAACGGUGUUGAUGACCUGUACCUUGAAAAAGUAUUGGUAUCUAGAGCUGGAGAUAGCUUAAACUAUGGUGGCGCCUUUCUAACCACCCGUUGGCGGCUCUUAUUUGAUCAGGACAUGGAUUGUGCACCUUCCACAUCUAUAUCCACCUGAAAAGUUCAGUGAACUUUAAUGUAGUUUGAUCUCUGAAUACUCGUAACAAAUGGUUUGAUCCAUGAACACUAAAUAUGGUAAUUGCAAAUUCACACGGCUGGAAAAGCGCCUUCGGAAUCGGAUCCUAACCCCCCUUACUACCGGUUGUGCAACUGGCAUUGCUACUUUGGUACUAAAGGGGGCCUUUAGUACCGGAUCAAAUAACCGUUACUAAAGGGAGCCUUUAGUACCGGUUAUUUAUACCAACCGGUACUAAAUUCUUUUUUCUUUUCUAUUUAUUUUCUUAUUUUCUUUUCUGUUUCUUUAUUUUAUAUUAGUAUUUCGUAUUUGUUUCCUUUACCACGGCGGUAGCGGCACUGGAAAGCACGACGGCUCAAAGAUGAACAGGAAAAAGGAGGGAGGGGGACAAAAUAGAUCUGCUAAAAAGAACGUAACCCUAAUCAUAAGCGGGCCCGCCGCGUUAUAUCCCCAUCACCUCCGGAUUCCAAGCGGCAAUUAAGCAACGGUCAGAUAUAAAUCAGAUUUAUUACCAUAAUAUCCAACAGCUACUCAAAUCAAGAGGUUUGACCACUUCAUCGACCACGGAAAAUCACCUAAAGUGCUCGGGGGCUGCGGAUACCGUACCCGUUGGAUAAAGUUUUCUUUUUUCUGAAGACUACUAAAGCCAAAUAACUAGAACACGGGAUUGACCCUCAGCCUGAUUCUUCGAUUCAAACUAAGGCUCGGGGGCUACUCCAUAUGGAGUGCGAUUGUCAUCGCACUACCAUAUAAUUUCUCCAAGGUAGAAGUAACUCGAAGUAAAAACAGACGAAGAGUACCUUCCAGCCACACGACAGUAUUCGAGUACUCAAAGACAUUACAACCGCUGAACACUGGGAAUUACUCUGGUAGUGGCUUCUGAGUACUCGGAACUGUUCCGCUCGACUACAAAGUACUCGGGAGCUUGUCGGGCAUGCAUCCCAGGCCCACAAGUAGGUCCUGUGCGGUCCACUAAGGGGCGUGCUCGGACGUAAUCAAGGCUCGGGGGCUACGCGGCAAAGGAGCGUGGCCCACUCGAACUCCCGAAGACUAGUCAACAUACAUAUGGAAACUACUCUGUCUACACCGAGUAGAACUCUAUAACCGUAUCCGACUAGGAUUCUAGCCUGUAACCCUGCUCCCCCGAUCAUAUAAGGGCGAGCAGGGACCCCCCCUCAAAGACAACUCAUCCAAGUUCAAUACAAUCAACACACAGGACGUAGGGUAUUACGCGAUCUAGCAACCCAAACCUAUCUAAAUCGUGUUCCUUGCGUCACCAUCAACUCCUUGAUUCUCGACAACACCCACUGCACAAAAGACCACCUAGGGUACCCCCUAGGCGGGUUGCCGGUCUAAAACAUUGACAGUCAGGAGGAAGAAGACGUCUGAUUUAUAGGAGGGAAGUUUGUAACAGUUGGGGGCUCCAACCGGUACUAAAGGAGGUCCCGAGGGGCUCUUGGGGAACUAGCCGUUAGACCCGGUACUAAUGUGAGCAUUAGUACCGGGUCAAAAACUAACCGGUACUAAGUCUCGGAACGAAUGCUGAGUUUUCCAGUAGUGUCAGUAGCAACCAUGCAAGCAUGAUGAGUUUCUAUACUGUUGAUACCGUCAUGGAUCUUGUGAUCUCAAAGCCCCAUGCUAAGGGGGUGUUUGGAUAUCACCUGCUAAAGUUUAGCACCUGUCAUAUCGGAUGUUUGAUACUAAUUAGGAGUAUUAAACAAUGCUAAAUAUAAAACUAAUUGCACAGAUGGAGUCUAAUUCACGGGACGAAUCUAUUAAGCCUAAUUAGUCCAUGAUUUGACAAUGUGGUGCUACAGUAACCAUUUGCUAAUGAUGGAUUAAUUAGGCUUAAUAGAUUCGUCUCGCGAAUUAGACUCCGUCUGUGCAAUUAGUUUUGGGUCUGUUCGCUUCAGCUUAUUCAAUCGGCUUAUCAGCCACCAAAUAGUAUUUUUCUCUCACAACAAAUCAGCCGUUUCAGCUUUUCAGCCGGCUUAUAAGCUGAAGCGAACAGGCCCAGCUCAUGUUUAGUUCUCCUAAUUAGCAUCCGAAUAUCCGAUGUGACACUACUAAAGUUUAGCCCAUGGUAUCCAAUACUACUAGGUAUGUAUAAAAAAAAAGGCCCCCAUGCUAGCAUUGAACAAGCUGUAUCUACCGUACAUGGAACUGUUCCAUGGUCUCCUUUGAGGCAGUUCGAUUACGUGCUCGAUUCUUGUAGUACAUGACCAUGCUAGAUGGAUCUUCAGCGUAGACUGGUCACAUCGCCGGCUUUAAGGCGCAGCAGGAUCUUGAAAGGGAUAGAGAGUCAAUGGCACACUGCAUGUACAAGUGUCCCAAUGAGUAACAGGAAUCGGUAAAGUAGACAUGCAACGUAAAUUGACCUGGUUUUCUGGUUCGAGCGUCGAAUUGCUAGGCAUUGAGAUGGGGAUCGAAAUUGGGGCGCACAUAGGUUGAAAAUGCACCAACUAUUACAAAAGCACGAAAAUACUGUCUAAAAACUAAACAAAAUGGUACUGUAUCUAAGGGAUGACAUCUCAACAGAAGAAAUGAAGAGCCUUUGAAGGACUAGAAUCAAUCAUGGAUUGAGAAAUGAGAAUCAAAGUUGGUAAUUGUGCAGAUUGACUCAAUGCGCAUCAUGCAUGAUAGUCAUUAUCUAAACCAACAGCAUCAUGAUCGUACGUACGUGUGCUAGCUGUUUGAUAGUCAAUCAUGCAUGGGUUGAGAAUCUAAACGAAAAAAGGACACUGAUCGAAAAGGCUAGGUGAAGAUUGUUGAACGAAAUCAGUUGUGUGUACGGUUGUCGAUUUCUUAUUCCAAGAGACCAAGAAAGGAUUAAAGAAAAUCUCCUGCUUAUCUCAUCAUGCAACUAGUCAAGAACUGGAUUAGGAGAGAAGCGCUAAGCUAGGCGAGAGGGAAUAUGAUGCCUCUGAUUAAUUAUUUGCUUAACUGAUCUCUGCUGAAAUGCAAAUUCUGCUUCUUCCGGUUAACUCUGUACAAUCGUUGUUGGGCUUUGGGCCGCUUGCAGAGGAACGGCAAGGGGGAAAAAACUCAUCUUGGGUGCGGGAAUGAAUCACCAAAUACUCUUGGUGCAUCUACAGCGGCGGGAGUGCCAGUUCAAAUUGUUGUGUUCCACCUAUCACCAAAUACUCGUGCCACGGGCCAAAGAUGAGUUGCUUAUUGGUGGCUAAAGAACAAAAUACAGUUUUUUUUUCUGAAAGGCAGUCGUGAAGCCGGUUAGAAAGAGUUUCGACUCGUGCUCACAAUCUGGAAGAUUUGAACGGAGAGAAAUGACAGGAUUUGAGCAUGACAAGCUAGUUUCUGUAAAUGUCGGGUUCUUGGUUGAAUUCAGCUCGCAGCUUGUUACUUUACAGGUGUAGCAUCCUUGUUCUUGUCAUCCGAUCCUAUCGGUCUAGCUGGCCAGAUUGUGAAGCCUGAUCGACGACAAGACAAUUGAGCUAUAAUUGCUUGAUACCAGUUGAGGCUGUCGCAUCGGUUAACCUUGGUCCAGUCACCUGAACAUGUCACGGCACAUCAACAUGAUGGUCAUGCGCAGUAGGGAGAACCAAUGUAAAAGUACGCCGUGCCAUGCAUCCAAUGCCAACAUGUUGAUAUUCUCUGAAGCCUGUUUGGUAGAGCUUUACCAACAGCUCCACCAACCGCUUCACCCGAAGCCCUACCAAAGGCAUACUUGCAAAACGGCUUCAAGGCCGGAGCCUAACCAGAGCCGGAGCCGAAAAUGCAGUGGGGAGACGGAGCCCAAAAAACUCCUCCGGCUCCUCCUCCGUCCCCGCAUGCAGCAGUACGCAGCUACCCCUCAAGCUUGCAAAUAUUACAAGGAAAAAUGCCAUCCUGUGCCCCGCGGCCUGUACCUUCAUUCUCCGUCAAGGCCGGUCUGCUGUAGAUGCUGCGCGGGGUCGCCAUGGACGUCGUCAUGCCGGAGCAAGCGCGCACGUCGCCGUGGAGGCCGAGGCCUGCGCCGUCAUGACAUUGGAGCGAGACAGCGAGUCCCCGUCUGCAUCCACGCGCAGGGGGCGCACUGGCCUGGAGGCUUGCCGGCGGCUUUGAUGCAUGGGUGCGAGCCGCGGGCGCCUUGACCGGCAUGGGAGCAGCUAGGCUAGGAAGCGACGAGCUGGAGCGGGCCAUUGCGGCGAGGCAGGAGCGUGGCUGCGGCAGAAUGCAUUGCGGGUCGGAGCAGAUAAGGCAGAAAAGAGCGGCGGCAACGGCAGGAUAGACCGAGUGAAAAAAGAUGCGUUGGGAGCAAAAACGAGAUGAAGCUAGGGGUACCAUAUGAAACAAAAGAAAAGGAUGGGUUUAUCUAUAAUUCUAUUCUUUAAUCAACUCAUUUAUAUUUUUUUUAUUUCACGUGGAAUCACAUUAAAAAUUGAGGGAAAAUAUAAAUUUUUAUGUACAUCGUAGACGAAGGGCGCAUUGGAUAUUUGACAUCUUUUAUAUAUUUGUAAAAAAUAGGAGAAGUCAUUUUACCAAAUAUUUCUUAAAAUGACCUAGAGAAGCUGCUCCACCAAAAAAACCCGCAAUCAAAGCUAUUUUGGAAGGAGCCGGAGCUUUGCCAAACAAGCCCUCUGUCUAGUCUGUCUACAGUAACAUCCUCCUGUUUGAGGGGAAAGAAGAUUUGAAAAUGUAUCUAAAAAUGUUACAUAACGCCACGAAAUUUGAAAAGCAGAUUCCACGUCCAUUUGAACUACAUAUACGUAAUAUAGGUAUACAUAGUGAAUAAUGAAUGCAAUUCAACAACGUAUUCAGGCAUGCUCUUGAGUACAUUUACUUUUGUACUGAAUUUUCCAUUGCGCUCGGUUAGGUUUCAUGUAGUACGUACAACCUGCCCACCCAACUUUAAAUAUCCAACUCAGCAUAUACAUUCUCAUUUUCAGCUUAUUAUUCCAAUUAGAGGUGGCGUGCCUAUAGCGACUCCACUCUGGUCUAUAAAGGAGUUCAUAGAGAUAGAGUUUGCGUGCAUGCAUUUACAGGUGUAAGUGCGCGUGCACGUACAUGAGUGUUUUGUCUUUUAGAAAAGAAAUUCAUGGAUAGUAUUUAUGAUUUUUCCCUCGCGUAUUCCAGGCAUUUUUCCUAUUGCAAUAGUUUGUUUAUUCAAUGUUUUAUAACAACUAUUUUUUCUUGUAUUGUUGUUGAUGUAUAUUUAAAUUUAAUUAAUAUCUAUUGCGCUUCUAAGAACUAUUUGUUCAUUCUAUGUUUUUUUUAGACCAUUUGUUCAUUCUAUGUAGGCAUACACCCACUUUUUUCGGGCCGAUGCAACUGAACUCGGAGAGCCCACCUUGCUUGUUCGACUAAUAGCAGCCCAGGUGACACCGGCCCAAACAAACUGCCGUGCACAAUAUUCCUUCCAGGAGGGGAAAUCCCAGUUCUCAGAAGAUUCGGCCCAAACACACUGCGGAGCACAUUCCUUCCCGGAGGAUCCCAGUUCUCAGAAGAUUCGGCCUCCCACGGGCAGCAGCCAUCCCGCACCGGUGUAAGCGCCGCCGCCGGCAGAAACGCCCCCGAUCUCGACGAGAGCGCGAUGGCGCUGACCAACUUCAUCGUGACGGUGGCGGUGGUGGGCGCGGGGGUGCUCCUCUUCACCACCGACAUCCGCAGGUCCGGCGCCCUCUUCCGCCGCAACGCGCGCCAGCUCCGCCAGUGGCUCGAGGAGGACACCGCCUCCGCCGCGUCCAAGUAAGCCGCUUGCGCGCCGUGCGCCAGCCCCUUCCCUUCUUGCUUGGCGCCGUUAUCUGCUAUGCUUCGUGUGAUUUGGAUGGAAUGCGAGGUUAAUUGCUCCGGAUUCUCUUAGUAUCGAAUUCGGUGUCUAGGUUUAGGGGUCAUUUCAGGAUCGAAUUGUGCAGAUGGCAAAGUUGGCAACUACCCAAUUUUCUGAUAUUGGAGUGCGCUGAGAGCUUAAUGCAUUGAAAAAUAUGUCCGUUGCUGAACGAUGUGAAGUUGUUUGUUCUAUUAGAAGAUUGAGAAUUUGGAAUGGCUUUUUGACUGGCGGAUUGUAGUAUGAUUGUUGCACAUUGUCUGGGUAAUCAUGGUUUAAUAAUUACUUUAGUGGUGGAUCAGAACUGUAAUGAGAUGAGGACCAAGACGGUUUUGGUGUAUUUUGCAAUCCCUUUGUGGGAAUCUGUGUGGUGUGUUGGAAUUUGGAAGCAUAGCACAUCUCAUUACUGGGUUUUAGAAAGGAAGGAUGAUCUACCCGGAAAAAAACAAAGAAGAUUGGUCUGAAGUAUCUUUUUUGAAUCAACAUGGUUUAAGUUUAAUUGCUGGCCAGUGCCAAUGAUUUUCCCUAUCAAAUUCCUUGUGACUCCAUCUAAUUUGUGAUUGUACAGUGUUCUAAUUGGACUUAAGUUUUUAUUUUCGUGUGGAGAUUCACAUUUUUUUGCCACUUUACCUUAUUAGUGGUAGCCAUCCAAUUAACAAGUACCUCAUACUACACCAAUGCUAAUUGAUACUAGUUAGGCUUGGGCUUUAUUUGAGACAGCUAAUGCUGGGUACAGCUUGGGUUGGGCCAAGGGUUUGACGCACCAUUUGGUUCUGGACAAAUCACCAUCGAUAUGUGCAUGCUGGCACUUACGAAAAGAAAGAGCAAUUCAUCUCGUAUUGCCUUAUGAGAAUCUAUAGAUAUAUUGAACUUCCUGUUUUUAUCACAUUCCGAAUUAUGCAUCUGGAAUAUGUCAAAACAUUACACUCUGAAAUCUGAAUACAUCGACAUGUGUGUAAUGUAAUACUACUUGCAGAUUUUACUAGCCCCACCAGAGAGUGAAUUCCAGUUACCUGUGUAACUUAUAGCUAGAGUUGCUUAAACCAGUCUGAAAAUGUGCAUCUUAGUGAGUAUUGCCUAAUCAUUGUGAAACUGUUGUAUGAUGUAGCUUUGGUGUUUGAAAGAAUCAAUGCCUUUGCAGUAGCAUAGCAUGGAGUGAAUUUUCCUAAGUUUUUUUGCUUUUAACCUGGUUACCAAGAAGAUCCAUACUACUUGAACUGACAUAAUAGUCGAUGUGCAUAGUACUUUUUUUUUCAGUUUUUAGUGAGUACCAGGAUGCUUUCUGCUUGUGCUUUGUUUCCUUGCAUAAAUCAAACAACGCUGCAGGUCUGCAAAAGAAGGAGCUCCAAAGAAACUUGACUCGACGAUCCCCAAGGAGAAGCCAAAGGAAGACAAUCACUGAUUGGAGUUGUUUAUGUUAAUGGUAUAACCUUUCUUAAAAAGUCCAAGGCUCUUUUACAAGUACUGUGAUAGAAACUUGUAGUGCCUAAGUAGAUGCACGGUGAAAUUAUGUUUCCAUUUGAACAGCAGUAUAUUAGGUCUCUGUGGAGCAGCGAAACGAUGUUCUUGAGUUCUGCUUGUAAGGAUAUAAAGCUCUCUUAGCUAAUACUACAUGCGUGCUGGUAAUUUUGGUGUUUUGAUGCCUUAUCCAGUAAAACAGACAUAAUUGUUUCCACAUGUGACGCGCUUUUUCAGUCUGCCAUUUUACUUUCAGCAACAUCAUAGCUAUUUGAUUCCUUCUAAUUAAACAUUGUUGCCAGGUCUAGGUUCUAUUUUAGCACAGUAGCCCAGAUCCUGAUAUCACUGCAUAGUUAUUUGAGAAAUGGUUUCAGAUAUCACCAAUGUUUCAUAAUGUAAUUCUGGCAAGAACAAAGUCAAAGCUCGUGUUUCGCGAAAGCUUUGUUUACGGGCAAACCAUCCAUGGUAAUUCUUCCUAUGUGUGUGUAUAUUUUUGGCCUUUGCGCUUCAGAAUAUAACCCAAAUCGCUGAACUAUUCUGUUACACCUGUAAUACAAAUUUGGUUGGUGUUACUGUGCUGACAAUUUUUGCAUCGCCUGUUCAAUCGGAAGCAUUGGGAGCAGACCUUCAAUGAAGGAGACAUGCUUUUGAAUGCAACCUGUUGUGAAGUGCUCAACCAGCGUCCGAAACCUUGAGCCUUGUUUAGCCUAUGAGAUCUACUGUUACACAUUUCUCUAUACAGAAACAUUAUCAACGAAGUUAGAUGCCUAUUUGGACAUUUGGUGACCAGCAUGCACUGGUCAGUACUGCUUGCCUAAAGAAAAUCGACCUCUGAUCUGAUGGAAGUGACGUCACCUGCGACAGCUACCGGAUCGUCCGGCUGGACGGGUCCAUCGAUUGGUGGGAGAGGUGAGGCAGCGCCCGUACCCCAAGGCUUGGCUUGGUUGCAAGUUGCAAAGAAACAAGGUGUAGCAUCACGCCAUCAUCCAGUCAGGUGGUAGUAGCCAUCACAUCCAUCUCCGGUGGUGUUGAUGCUCCGAUGCCGCGCGAGAGGGACGUGGAAUCGCUACCUCUUCACCGGAGGUGUUGCAUUAGCAUCCUUGGGCGCCAUGGACGGCGCGCCUGACAAGUUGGUUGUUGGUUCGGUUAGGUUCGCAAUCAUCGUGCGGUCGCGGCCCUCGCAAAUCAUCGCGUGCGACGAGACCCGUCGGGCCACAGGAGUGCGUGGUUGGCACAGCGAAUCUGAGGAAAUCGUGCCUUGUCGUUCAGAGCCGGGCAAGCGGUUGGGUUGACGACGAGUCGACGGGCGACGCGGAAAUGGAAAGACUGAGCAGGGGCGCUCUGCUCUUCGUCAGAGGUAGCAUCAUCAGUGCUCAGGUUGUGAGACAUGUCACUGGAUGCGUCCUUGAGUUUGACUAAUACUACCAGAUGGCAGCUUCACUUCAGAACUGAAGCGCUGGCAUGAGUGAUCUCGUAGUCAGAGAAGCUGCUGUUUGGCAUUCAUUAUACCCGUGCCUCUCCCACGAUGCCCCGGCGCCCAGAGUAGGCUUGCACAUGGACACAGUGCCAUCGUACACGUUACGUUAUAGUGUAAUAACAGAGGACAUGUCACUUCGCAGGAUCAAGGACAUGUUAAUUAACCCUAACCCCCAGCCCAGGUGUUUAGCGUGCGCGUUGAGCUCCAAACCACCCCCCCCCCCCCCCCCCCACACACACACACCCACACCCACACACACACACACACACACACACACACACAAGGCACGGUUCCAUUUCCCAGUCGACAACCAAUCCCUCCGGCGCCUCGACCAUCCAACCAUCGUCUGAUUCGCUGUCCGAGCCCGAACGAGGGCGAGAGGCCCGCGCCGAUGGUCCCUGGCACCAAUCCCCCUCUCGGCAUCUCCCCGGCCGCAUUGAUGGGACGGCUGCUCCUCCUCUCCUCUGGCAACAAAUCUACUGGCGCGCGCGCGCGCGCACGCGUCCCUCUCCGCCCGCUCGCCCCCGUCGCCGCGCCGAUCGCCCCGGGGCACCCAACCCAACCACCAUUUCCCGCAUUUAACCGCCCAACCACGGCCGUGCGGUUCGCGCGCGCGGCGGCCGACGGCGCACCGCCACGGCGCCACCCUCACCAGUCGCCGCACCUCCUCUCCAGCGAUCGCGCCUGCUGCCUGCCUGUGCGAUGCGGCAGGUAACCAACCAACGGACGGACGGUCCUGAUUGAUUGGGCUCUCGGCUCUCCCACCGCGCGUACGCUAGCUCUCGGCGUGCGUGCUGGCGUGCUGCCACGGCCCGGCUACCUGCUGCUGCCCUGUUCCUUUCGCCGUUUUCCGCUGCUGCACUUGCGUUUUGGCCUCUCACGGGUCGCACGGAGGGAAGCGAAGAUUUUGCUAGUGAAGGGAGGGCGGUGGCUACCUACCAAUCUACGAUUAGUUGUGUGGAACCCACGUGUCGUUUCGUUACGGGUUGCUGGCUUGCCUUCCAAAAGAAACAAAAACGUUAUGGCUUUGUUUGCUUGAUUUUCUUGCUUGAUUAGUUAGGACAACUAGUUAGCCUCUGAAACAUGGGGAAUUUGUAGGAAACCAAUAUGAGAAUACUGUAUAGUAUCGUUUUGUGCCAAAGUUCAUGAGCUCGAAGCACAGUUGAGUUCACUUGGAUGUGGUACGAACACAUACCUGGCGUAAAACUUAUGACUUUAGCAUUCUAUUGAAUGGAAUAGAAAGUCAAUCUCAUUCUCGAGUGUUUGUAUACCGCCUACCAUCCAAUCCGCCGGCUACACCUUUUCGUGAGGGGUUGUGAUUAAGUGGUGAUGUGGAUACCCAAUCGACCAGGUCUCCUUUCGGUGAUGGUAUCUCCAAUGUUAGCGGUACGUUUCUUGUGGAAGUGGCAUCUAAGACACGUGCUUUAUUGGACGUAUAAUCCAGAAAACGAGAGCAAUCCUUGCAGAAAAGACCGACUGUCAAUUUGAUGGGCUCUAAUAAUUAUUGGGAAUGAUAACCAUUGAAAAAAUUAUCAAAACUACCCCAAUAUAUUAUCAUAAAGCAUCUACAUCUUCUCUUACAAAAAUAAAUCCAAAGUCCCAUGAUGACAAAUCGAUUUUGCCAUUAUGAAAAAUUAACCCAAAGAGUCCAUUUACCCGUUUUCUAGAUUACCUGCGUUUACUAUUACAGCAAAACUAAUAAAAGUGUGACUACUUUUUUGCAACAUAGAAAUUAAAAAUUUACCUAAAAUAUCUGACUAUCACCAUAUAUAGAAAUUAGAAAUUUCCCAAGACCAAAGGUGUCGAGUCUUCCAGAUGUACUGAACAUGAUUUGUGGUGUUUUACGUGGAUUUGGAAAAGAAGCUCCGAGCCAGCCCCGACAUGGCAUCAAUAGGUUUCCCCAAAAGAUGGGGCAGAAGAAAAGAGGCACGCACAAUUUGCACGUACAUGCCAGCCAACUAUGUGGCCACACUUGUACUGGGGUACAUGUUCCUCUUUGGCUUGUAUAGCAUUGCAUAUAUCUGAGCAUAUACAUGCUAUAUGUAUCCCAAUAUUUACCAAUAUAUGUAUUUACGUAUGCAUGUAUGUUUCUCAUCUUAUGUUUAGUUACAGAGAGGGAAAGAAAAAUGAGUACAAGAAAAAAUUGGUACACCAGAACCAAAAACGGGCAAAUGCAAAACAGAGAACAAAAAAAGUGUGGCUAAACAAUUAUACACUUCCUAUCUUCCUUUGCUGUAUACAAAUUAAUUAUCGGCCUUAACCCCCCCAACAAUAAUGCCUAACAAAAGGAAUUAAUCUGCUAGCUAAGUAAAUUAAGAAUCAUCUGGGAAGAAGAAGAAGACGAAGAAGGAGGAGGAGGUUUGUGAUGAUCUCAUAUUCAUAUAUCCCAUCCCAUGCAUCACCAGCUCCAGGCACCAUGCAAAUUUUCUCUCUCUAGAUAGAUGCUCAUCUCUCUCUCGGUCUACCUCCCUCUCUCUCUCUCCCCUCUGGUUACUGCGCUCUCUCUCUCUCUCUCUCGCUCUCUCUCUCUCUCUCUCUCUCUCUCUCUCUCUCCCCCCUCGGUGCUAUUCCAAAUGCAUGAUCCGCGCAUGCAUGAGCCAUGAAAGGUGAUGUGGCGAUGUGUAAGCAUCAACAACCGCUGUAGUCUGUCAAGGAGAACCGGCCGGCGCCGUCGGGCCCCGCGUUGCCGGCGCCGGCGUGCUGCAAGCCCAGCGUCAGCGACACGUCGCCGGCGGCCGCGCCGGUCGCGCCGGGCCCGUACCGCAUCCUCACCCCGGGCUCGAACCGCCCGUACAGGUCGUCAGCGCCGCCGCCUACGUGCGCGUCGCCGCCGAGGAGCUCCACCGGGUCGAUCCCGACGAAGGCCGCGUCCGCCGCCGAGGGACCCGCGGCGCCCGGGUCGGGCUUGUGCGGCAUCAGGCCGGGCGCCGCGGUGCCGUGCUGCUGCUGCUGGAGCUGCGCCGCGCCGGUGGUGGUCGGGGAGUGCGUGUCGUCGGCGCCGGAGGGGUCGUUGCCGGACUCGGGCCCCCCGCCGCCGGCCGAGGAGCCCUCGAGCUCCCUGCACUCCUGCUGGUACAUCUCCUCGAUCAUGGGCUUCCAUAGCCGGACACGGGCGUUGAUGAACCAGUUGGAGACCUGGAGUUGAUCCAAAGGAAAGCAAACAAAUUAUUGCAGGGUACAGGGGUCCAUGCACGGCCUGUGGUGCCAUGCGUGCAUGCAUGCUGCAGGGACGUAUAGAGCUACUAGCUAGGUACUAGCUUAUCUAGCUAGCUACCCGGCCCUCACUGUCAUGUUUCAGUGUUAUCCUGCCGUUGUCUUGUUUGGUUUGUGUCCAAUGUUUUGGAUCUAGCUACUUCUUUUGUAAAUAGCACAGACUUGUCUUGUUUUGAUUUCUUAGUAUGUACCAUAUGUUUCUGCACAUGGUUAAAGUAAAAGAGCUAGUAGUGCAUAGAGUAAUUUGCCAUGCAUGGUUAUACAUUCAUAUAUAAUACUCCUAGCUAGCAUACAUGGGUUUAAAAUGUUCAUGCACUGUUAAUUUCGUCUUACAGUUCAUGAAUUUUUAGAUGAGAAUCCAUAUACUCUAGUUUGAUCUCUCAAGUUCCAUUUACCAUAGUUUUGGGUGUGAAUUUCAACACUGAC